rnacentral:lncRNA from 1 species
ACCAUCGUCGGCUACUGCGAGGGUCCCGGCGAGGGAAACAAGUACUGGAUUGCCAAGAACUCGUGGAGCAACGACUGGGGUGAACAAGGAUAUGUCUACCUCGCAAAGGACGUGCCCUCGUCCACGGGCACAUGUGGCCUCGCCACCUCGCCCUUCUACCCCACGGCUUGACCACAGGCAGCACUAUGUGUGAUAUCUAAGGAAUUGCUUCCGUUUCGUUGUGAUAAUGCUAAAUUAUUAUUUUGAUUAUACUUCCCUUUAAUUUGAUCAAUAAUAGGUAGACCGUGCGUGCAAUAUAUCAUGGCCUGAGUAAUAAAGUUUCGACUGAAUUACACUUUUUACAAGUUAAUUGUGCAAUUUUUUGUGACACGUAUUUACCGAUUUAGCAGAUGUUGCAUCGAAAUGUCCCAUCUAAAAAACAUUGUACCAGAUUUUACUCCAUUUUAGCAUUUCGCCUAUUAUUAGAUAUGACCCGCAUGUUAGGUAGGUACUUUAACAACAAUGUGUAAACAUCUCAGGACAGGAUGGACUAUCAUGUUUAGCCUUCUCUUCUCCAUGUAUUCCACUGCUCGCCAUCCUUAUGGUAUCCUCUAACGGUGAUCAUCGCCGCACGCAUUUUACAAUCGACACCCAUGAGAGAAACAUGGUACAAAGUUUUAAAAUAGGGUAAUGUAGACGAAUGCUCAUGAAAUGGGUUAACUGGUUCCGCGAAUGUACAAAUUGGAGGUAAAAAGUGAAGCUCAGUCUGAAUUUACAGAUAACAUGUUGGGUACUAUCAUGCUCGUGUGUUCUCUUCUUUGUUUCUACUUCUCUGUGAGGAUUAUUUUUCUAAAAUCAAAUUUGCAUGUGCAAUGAGCAUUUUUACGGUACCGUUAAAAACAUAUGAAACCUCCAUUUGUUAGAUUGUGAUGGCUGAAGAUUAGACGUAGAUAUAUAGGAUUGCCACCUCUAAAAUCUGUGGGGUACAUUUUGAAGUCGUAAUCAAGACAAAAUUACUGUGCCGUCAGAUCAUCUCAAUUGUGCUCCUGUUAUUAUGUACGCAUACCCCCAUAUUUUGUUCGUUUCUGGACGUCUAAACACAAGAUCUGAACGAAUCGGGGCGGAUGUCCCCCAAGUGUACCCCCAAAUGGAUUACUAUUUCCGCGACCAAUUAAGCAUCUAAUAGCGAAUAUUGCAAAGUAACAUAGAACAGGAAAAUGUAUACUAGUAGUCCUUGCAUCUGAAACUUUUCUCAUUUAUCCUAUAGCAAUUCUAUCAGUAAAUCCAUCCACAUCUCUAGGAUGUGGUUCCUCGAUGCUGCCCACAAAGGGCAACUUGCAAACCAAACAAAAAUCAUAGAGUGACAUCUCCUUAACCUCAUCAUAUAAGUAAAACUCCACUGAAGGUGGUGAUUUUCUAGCAUGGAAAUAAAAGUUUUGCAUGAAAAUAUUAGUGAGUAGGAGAUACUGUUUACAUUGGUCGUGGAGGAAGUCGGUGAUGCCUGCAUUCUCAGCCAAAUAAUAAAAGUCGUCGUAAAUUCUGGCGGCUCUCAAAAAUGCAUCACAAGGCCAUUCGCACGACCGAACCUCCACAACGCGAGGAAGAUUGUAUUUGGGCUUUUUAUUCUCCUCAUUCUGCUUCAUUCGAGCUUCGGCUCGAGGAGCCCCGCAGCAAUCACUUCAUCAUUUUCGUUCUCUGAAAAAAUUCUGAAAUUUUUAGUGACUCAAAAUAGAAGUGAAUCAGACUCAACAAAAUUGAUAGCAACUACAACCACAAAAACUAAUUGGACCAUUGGAGGAGUCACAUACCGAAGAACAAUCCCCCAAAGCAGUUUUGUGAAUGGUGCUUUGAGCAAGGAGAUCGAAAAUGGCAGCAAACCGAGCUAGAACACGAGUUUGAGCUACAGGAUGAUUUUUUGGAGGAAGAGGAAGUGUGUGGGUGCUGGAAUAAGUGGAGAGGGGCCACGUGGGGUCCACGAGGCAGGGGGCGCGCCCGAGGGGUGUGGGCGCGCCCUGUGCCCUUGUGGCCAAAUGGUGGGUACCCCUGGUGUGUUCCAAGUGCCAUAAAUUCUUAAAUAUUCUAUAAAAAAUCAUACUUCAUUUUCAGGGCAUUUAGAGAACUUUUAUUUUCAGGGUAUUUUUUAUUGCAAGGAUAAUUCAAAAAACAGACAGAAAAUACUAUUUUUACUUUAUUUAAUCUAAAUAACAGAAAGUAAAAUGAUGGUACAGAGAGUUUUGCUUUCUAAUUUCAUCCAUCUCAUGCUCAUCAAAAGGAAUCCACUAACAAGGUUGAUCAAGUCUUGUUAACAAACUACUUCCGAAUAACAUGUAACCAAAGAAUUUCCGAAUACCACUAGGUUACCUCAACGGGGAUAUGCUUGUCCCCAAUAUUAAGAAUAUCAUAUUUCUUUUUUACAGUAGGAAGAGGUAAUUCAAAACCUCUAAUAGUAAUCAUUGAAAAAUUUCCAAUAGAAUUGAUACUAUGAACUUGAGGUUGUUUCUUCAGACAGUGUAUCGUAUGCUCAUUAUCAUUAACAUGAAAGGUGACACUGCCUUUGUUGCAAUCAAUAAUAGCCCCUGCAGUAUUAAAAAAGGGUCUACCAAGGAUAAUCGACAUACUGUCGUCCUCGGAAAUAUUAAGAAUAACAAAGUCCAUUAAAAUAGUAACGUUUGCAACCACAACAGGCACAUCCUCACAAAUACCAACGGGUAUAGCGGUUGAUUUAUCGGCCAUUUGCAAAGAGAUUUCAGUAGGUGUCAACUUAUUCAAAUCAAGUCUACGAUAUAAGGAGAGAGGCAUAACUUUGACACCGGCUCCAAGAUCACAUAAAGUAGUUUUAACAUAGUUUCUUUUAAAGGAGCAUGGUAUAGUUGGUACUCCUGGAUCUCCAAGUUUCUUUAGUAUUCCACCCUUAAAAGUAUAAUUAGCAAGCAUGGUGGGAAUUUCAGCUUCCGGUAUCUUCCUUUUAUUUGUAACAAUAUCUUUCAUAUACUUAGCAUAAGGAUUCAUUUUAAGCAUGUCUGUCAAAUGCAUACGCAAAAAGAUAGGUCUAAUCAUUUCAGCAAGGCACUCAAAAUCCUCAUCAUCCUUUUUUCUUGGAUGGCUUAGGAGGAAAAGGCAUGGGUUUCUGAACCCAUGGUUCUCUUUCUUUACCAUGCUUCCUAGCAAAGAAGUCUCUCUUAUCAUAUCGUUGAUUCUUUGAUUGUGGGUUAUCAAGAUCAACAUCAGGUUCAAUCUCUACAUCAUUGUUAUUGCUAGGUUGAGCAUCAACAUGAACAUCAUCAUUAACAUUAUCACUAGGUUCAUGUUCAUUACCAAAUUGUGUUUCAGCAUCAGAAAUAGAAAUAUCAUUGGGAUUCUCAGGUGUAUCUAUAACAGGUUCACUAGAAGCAUGCAAAGUCCUAUCAAUUUUCCUUUUCUUUUCUUAGAAUGGCUAGGUGCAUCAACUUAGUUCUCUGAGAAUCUUGCUCAACUCUCUUAGGAUGGCCCUCAGUAUACAAAGGUUCCUGGGUCAUUUUACCACCUCUAGUCAUAACUCUAACAUCAUUAUCAUUGUUCUUAUUAUUUAAUUCAUUGAGCAAAUCGUCUUGUUCUUUAAGUACUUGUUCUACUUGAGUGGUAACCAUGGAUGCAUGUUUACUAAUAAGCUUAAGGUCACCUUUAACUCUAGACAUAUAAUCACUCAAGUGUUCAACCAUAUAAGCAUUACGUUUCAAUUGUCUACCAACAUAAGCAUUGAAGUUUUCUUGUUUAACAAUAAAAUUAUCAAACUCAUCCAGGCAUUGACUAGCAGACUUAUUACGAGGAAUAUCACCUUCAUCAAAACUAUAGAGAUAAUUUGCCUUUACUACCUGUGUCGGGUUAUUAAGACCAUGUAUUUCUUCAAUAGGUGGCAAAUUCUUAACAUCUUCAACUUUAAUACCUUUUUCUUUCAUAGAUUUCUUUACCUCUUGCAUAUCUUUAGGACUGAGAAAUAGUAUACCCCUUUUCUUCGGAGUUGGCUUAGGACUUUGUUCAGGAAGUGUCCAAUUAUUAUCAUUACUCAAUAUAUUAUUCAAUAGCAAUUCAGCUUGCUCAACAGUUCUUUCCCUGAAAACACAACCAGCACAACUAUCUAGGUGGUGUCUGGAAGCAUUGGUUAGUCCAUUAUAAAAUAUAUCAAGUAUUUCAUUUUUCUUGAGAGGAUGAUCAGGAAAAGCAUUAAGUAAUCGGAGAAGCCUCCCCCAAGCUUGUGGGAGACUCUCUUCUCCAAUUUGGUCAAAAUUAUAUAUUUCCCUUAAGGCAGCUUGUUUCUUAUGGGCGGGAAAAUAUUUUGCAGAGAAGUAAUAAAUCAUAUCCUGGGGACUAUGCACACAACCAGGAGCAAGAGAAUUAAAUCAUAUCUUAGCAUCACCCUUUAAUGAGAACUGAAAUAAUUUAAGGAUAUACUAAUGAAGAAUUUUUACCUCAUGGGUAAAUAGGGUGGCUAUAUCAUUCAAUUUAGUAAGAUGUGCCACAACAGUUUUAGAUUCAUAGCCAUAAAAAGGAUCAGAUUCAACCAAAGUAAUUAACUUAGGAUUGACAGAGAAUUCAUAAUCCUUAUAAGUAACACAGAUAAGUGAAGUAGCAAAAGCAAGGUCAUAUUUCAUUUUAGCAUUAAGGGACUUUUCUUUCAGCUUAGCUAACAGUUUCUUAAGAUCAUAUAUAUCUUUGCAAGCAAAAAGGUCUCUAGAAGUUUCUUCAUGCAUAACAUAACCCUCAGGCACAACAAACAAUUCGUAUCUAGGGGGAGAAUCUUCAUCAUCACUUUCAUCAAUAUUAUAAGUUUCAAUAAUUUCAUUCUAUCUAACCCUAGAAAGUUGUUCAUCAAGAAAUUCACCUAAUGGCACAGUAUUAUCAAGCAGAGAAGAAGUUGAAGGAAAUAUGCCCUAGAGGCAAUAAUAAAGUUAUUAUUUAUUUCCUUAUUUAAUGAUAUAUAUUUAUUAUUCAUGCUAGAAUUGUAUUAAUCGGAAACAUAAUACAUGUGUCAAUACAUAGACAAACAAAGUGUCACUAGUGUGCCUCUACUUGACUAGCUUGUUGAUCAAAGAUGGUUAUGUUUCCUGACCAUAGACAUGUGUUGUCAUUUGAUUAAUGGGAUCACAUCAUUAGGAGAAUGAUGUGAUUGACAUGACCCAUUCCGUUAGCUUAGCACACGAUCGUUUAGUAUGUUGCUAUUGCUUUCUUCAUGACUUAUACAUGUUCCUAUGACUAUGAGAUUAUGCAACUCCUGUUUACAGGAGGAACACUUUGGGUGCUACCAAACGUCACAACGUAACUGGGUGAUUAUAAACGUGCUCUACAGGUGUCUCCGAAGGUACAUGCUGGGUUGGCGUAUUUCGAGAUUAGGAUUUGUCACUCCGAUUGUCGGAGAGGUAUCUCUCGGCCCUCUCGGUAAUACACAUCACUUAAGCCUUGCAAGGAUUGCAACUAAUGAGUUAGUUGCGGGAUGAUGUAUUACAGAACGAGUAAAGAGACUUGCCGGUAACGAUAUUGAACUAGGUAUUGAGAUACUGACGAUCGAAUCUCGGGCAAGUAACAUACCGAUGACAAAGGGAACAACGUAUGUUGUUAUGCGGUCUGACCGAUAAAGAUCUUCAUAGAAUAUGUGGGAACCAAUAUGAGCAUCCAGGUUCAGCUAUUGGUUAUUGACCGGAGACGUGUCUCAGUCGUGUCUACAUUGUUCUCGAUCCGUAGGGUCCGCACAAUUAAGGUUUCGAUGACAGUUAUAUUAUGAGUUUAUGAGUUUUGAAUUACCGAAGGAGUCCAGAGUCCCGGAUGAGAUCGGGGACAUGACGAAGAGUCUCGUAAUGGUCGAGACGUAAAGAUCGAUAUAUUGGACGACUAUAUUCGGAGUUCGGAAAGGUUCCGAGUGUUUCGGGUAUUUUUCGGAGUACCGAAGAGUUAUGGGAAUUCGCCGGGGAGUAUAUGGGCGUUAUUGGGCCAUACGGGAAUAGAGUAGAGAGGCCAAAAGGAAGGAGGCCUGCGCCCCCUCUGGUCCAAAUUGGACAAGGGGCGCAGCCCCCUUUUCCUUCUUCCACUCCCCCUCUUUCCCCUUCUCCUACUCCAACAAGGAAGAAGGGAGUCCUACUCCCGGUGGGAGUAGGACUCCCCUUGGCGCGCCCCCUCCUAGGCUGGCCACCCCCUCCCCCUUGCUCCUUUAUAUACGGGGGCAGGGGGGCACCUCUAGACACAACAACAAUUGAUCCUUGAGAUCUCUUAGCCGUGUGUGGUGCCCCCUCCACCAUAGUCCUCGAUAAUAAUGUAGUGGUGCUUAGGCGAAGCCCUGCGACAGUAGAACAUCAAGAUCGUCACCACGCCGUCGUGCUGACGGAACUCUUCUCCGACACUUUGCUGGAUCGGAGUCCGGGGAUCGUCAUUGAGCUGAACGUGUGCUAGAACUCGGAGGUGCCGUAGUUUCGGUGCUUGAUCGGUUGGGCCGUGAAGACGUACGACUACAUCAACCGCUUUGUUAUAACACUUCCGCUUUUGGUCUACGAGGGUACAUGAACAUACUAUCCCCUCUCGUUGCUAUGCAUCACCAUGAUCUUGCGUGUGCGUAGGAAUUUUUUUGAAAUUACUAUGUUCCCCAACAUUGGCAUCCGAGCCAGGUUUUAUGCGUAGAUGUCAUAUGCACGAGUAGAUCACAAGUGAGUUGUGGGCGAUAUAAGUCAUACUGCUUACCAACAUGUCAUACUUUGGUUCAGCGGUAUUGUUGGUGAAGCGGCCCGGACCGACAUUACGCGUAUGCUUACACGAGACGGGUUCUACCGACGUGCUUUGCACACAGGUGGCUGGCGGGUGUCAGUUUCUCCAACUUUAGUUGAACCGAGUGUGGCUACACCCGGUCCUUGCGAAGGUUAAAACAACACCAACUUGACAAAGUAUCGUUGUGGUUUUGAUGCGUAGGUAAGAACGGUUCUUGCUAAGCCCGUAGCAGCCACGUAAAACUUGCAACAACAAAGUAGAGGACGUCUAACUUGUUUUUGCAAGGCAUGUUGUGAUGUGAUAUGGUCAAGACAUGAUGAUAAAUUUUAUUGUAUGAGAUGAUCAUGUUUUGUAACAGAGUUAUCGGAAACUGGCAAGAGCCAUAUGGUUGUCGCUUUAUUGUAUGCAAUGCAAUCGCCCUGUAAUGCUUUACUUUAUCACUAAGCGGUAGCGAUAGUCAUAGAAGCAUAAUAUUGGCGAGACGACAACGAUGCUACGAUGGAGAUCAAGGUGUCGUGCCGGUGACGAUGGUGAUCAUGACGGUGCUUCGAAGAUGGAGAUCACAAGCACAAGAUGAUGAUGGCCAUAUCAUAUCACUUAUAUUGAUUGCAUGUGAUGUUUAUCUUUUAUGCAUCUUAUCUUGCUUUGAUUAACGGUAGCAUUAUAAGAUGAUCCCUCACUAAAUUAUCAUAGUAAAAGUGUUCUCCCUGAGUAUGCAUCAUUGCGAAAGUUCUUCGUGCUGAGACACCACGUGAUGAUCAGGUGUGAUAAGCUCUACGUUCAAAUACAACGGAUGCAAAAUAGUUGCACAAGCGGAAUACUCAGGUUAAACUUGACGAGCCUAGCAUAUAACAGAUAUGGCCUCGGAACACGGAGACCGAAAGGUCGAGCGUGAAUCAUAUAGUAGAUAUGAUCAACAUAUUGACGUUCACCGUUGAAACUACUCCAUCUCACGUGAUGAUCGGACAUGGUGUAGUUGAUAUGGAUCACGUAAUCACAUAGAGGAUUAGAGGGAUUUCUAUCUAAGUGGGAGUUCUGAAGUAAUAUGAUUAAAUGAACUUAAAUUUAUCAUGAACUUAGUCCUGGUAGUAUUUUGCAAAUUGUGUUGUAGAUCAAUAGCUUGCGUUGUUGCUUUCAUAUGUUUAUUUUGAUAUGUUCCUAGAGAAAAUUGUGUUGAAAGAUGUUAGUAGCAAUGAUGCGGAUUGGAUCCGUGGUCUGAGGUUUAUCCUCAUUGCUGCAUAGAAGAAUUAUGUCCUUAAUGCACCACUAGGUGACAGACCUAUUGCAGGAGCAGAUGCAGACGUUAUGAACAUUUGGCUAGAUCAAUAUGAUGACUACUUGAUAGUUUAGUGCACCAUGCUUAACGGCUUAGAACUGGGACUUUAAAGAUGUUUUGAACGUCAUGGACCAUAUGAGAUGUUCCAGGAGUUGAAGUUAAUAUUUCAAGCAAAUACCCAAGUUGAGAGAUAUGAAGUCUCCAACAAGUUCUAUGGCUAAAAGAUGGAGGAGAAUCGCUCAACUAGUGAGCAUGUGCUAAGAUUGUCUGGGUACUACAAUCGCUUGAAUCAAGUGGGAGUUAAUCUUCCAGAUAAGAUAGUGAUUGACAGAAUUCUCUAGUCACCAUCACCAAGUUAGUAGAACUUUGUGAUGAACUAUAGUAUGCAAGGGAUGACGUAAAUGAUUCCCAAGCUCUUUGUGAUGUUCAAAUCGACGAAGGUAGAAAUCAAGAAAGAGCAUCAAGUGUUGAUGAUUGACAAGACCACUAGUUUCAAGAAAAGGGCAAAGGGAAAGAAAGGGACCUUCAAGCAGAAUGGCAAGCAAGUUGUCACUCCCACGAAGAAGCCCAAAGCUGGACCAAAGCCUGAAACUGAGUGAUUAUACUACAAAGGAAAUGGUCACUAGAAGCAGAAAUGCCUUGAAUAUUUGGUGGAUAAGAAGGAUGGCAAAGUGAACAAGGGUAUAUUUGAUAUACAUGUUAUUGAUGUGUACUUUACUAGUGUUUAUAGUAGCCCCUGAGUAUUUGAUACUUGUUCAGUUGCUAUAAUUAGUAACUCGAAACAGGAGUUAUAGAAUAAACAAAGACUAGUUGAGGAUGAAGUGACGAUGUGUGUUGGAAGUAGUUCCAAGAUUGAUAUGAUCAUCAUCACACUCUCCCUACACUUCCGAGAUUAGUGUUGAACAUAAAUAAAUGUUAUUUGGCAUCUGCGUUGAGCAUGAAUAUGAUUUGAUCAUGUUUAUUGCAAUACGGUUAUUCAUUUAAAGUCAGAGAAUAAUUGUUGUUCUGUUCACAUGAAUAAAACCUUCAAUGGUCAUACACCCAAUGAAAAUAGUUUGUUGGAUCUCGAUCGUAGUAAUACACAUAUUCAUAAUAUUGAUGCCAAAAGAUGCAAAGUUAAUAAUGAUAGUGCAACUUAUUUGUGGCACUGCCGUUUGGGUCAUAUCGGUGUAAAGCGCAUGAAGAAACUCCAUAAAAAUGGAUUUUCGGAAUCAUUUGGUUAUGAAUCAUUUGAUGCUUGCGAACCAUGCCUUUUGGGCAAGAUGACUAAAACUCCGUUCUCUAGAACAAUGGAUCGAGCUACUGACUUGUUGGAAAUAAUACAUACUGAUGUAUGCAGACCUGUGAGUAUUAAGGCUCGUGGCAAGUAUCAUUAUUUUCUGACCUUCACAGAUGAUUUGAGCAGAUAUAGGUAUAUCUACGUGAUGAAACAUAAGUCUGAAAUAGUUGAAAGGUUCAAAGAAUUUUAGAGUGAAGUGGAAAAUCAUCGUAACAAGAAAAUAAAGUUUCUGCGAUCUGAUCGUGGAGAUGAAUAUUUGUGUUACGAGUUUGGUCUUCAACUAAAACAAAGCGGAAUAGUUUCGCAACUCACGCCACCCGGAACACCACAGCGUAAUGGUGUGUCCGAACGUCGUAACCGCACUUUAUUAGAUAUUGCGCAAUCUAUGAUGUAUCUUACCGAUUUACCACUAUCGUUUUGGGGUUAUGCAUUAGAGACAGUUGCAUUCACUUUAAAUAGGGCACCAUCAAAAUCCGUUGAGAUGACGCCUUAUGAACUGUGGUUUGGCAAGAAACGAAAGUUGUCGUUUCUUAAAGUUUGGGACUGCGAUGCUUAUGUGAAAAAGUUUCAACCUGAUAAGCUCGAACCUAAUUCGGAGAAGUGCGUCUUCAUAGAAUACCCAAAGGAAACUAUUGGGUACACCUUCUAUCACAGAUCCAAAGGCAAGAUAUUCGUUGCUAAAAUGGAUCCUUUCCAGAGAAGGAUUUUCUCUCGAAAGAAGUGAGUGGGAGGAAAGUAGAACUUGAUGAGGUAACUAUACCUGGUCCCUUAUUGGAAAGUAGUUCAUCACAGAAAUCGGUUACUGUGACAUCUACACCAAUUAGUGAGGAAGUUAAUGAUGAUGAUCAUGGAACUUCAGAUCAAGUUGUUACUGAACCUCGUAGGUCAAACAGAAUAAGAUCCGCACCAGAGUGGUAUGAUAAUCCCGUUCUAUAAGUCAUGUUACUAGACCAUGAUGAAUCUACGAACUAUGAGGAAGCGAUGAUGAGCCCAGAUUCCGCGAAAUGGCUUGAGGCCAUAAAAUCCGAGAUAUGAUCCAUGUAUGAAAACAAAGUAUGGACUUUGAUUGACUUGCUCGAUGAUCAGCAAGCCAUGUUAAAUAAAUGGAUCUUCAAGAGGAAGACGGACACUGAUAGUAGUGUCACUAUCUACAAAGCUCGACUUGUUGCGAAAGGUUUUUGACAAGUUCAAGGUGUGUUGAAUAUGAUGAGAUUUUCUCACUCGAAACGAUGCUUAAGUCUGUCCGAAUCAUGUUAGCAAAUUGCCACAUUUUAUGAAAUCUGGCAAAUGGAUAUCAAAACUGUGUUCCUGAAUGGAUUUCUAGAAGAAAAGUUGUAUAUGAUGCAACCAGAAGGUUUUGUCGAUCCGAAAGGUGCUAACAAAAUGUGCAAGCUCCAGCGAUCCAUCAAUGGACUGGUGCAAGCAUCUCGGAGUUGGAAUAUACGCUUUGAUAAGUUAAUCAAAGCAUAAGAUUUUUAUAAAGACUUUUGGAAAUGCCUGUAUUUACAAGAAAGUGAGUGGGAGCACUACAACCUUUCUGAUAAGUAUAUGUGAAUGACAUAUUGUUGAUCGGAAAUGAUGUAGAAUUUUUCUGGAAAGCAUAAAGAAGUAUUUGAAAGAAGUUUUUUCAAAGAAAGACCUCGGUGAAGCUGCUUACACAUUGAGCAUCAAGAUCUAUAGAGAUAGAUCAAGACACUUGAUAAGAUUUUUCAAUGAGUACAUACCUUGACAAGAUUUUGAAGAAGUUCAAAAUGGAACGGUCAAAGAAAGAGUUCUUACCUGUGAUGCAAAGGUGUGAAGUUGAGUAAGACUCAAAACCCGACCAUGGCAGAAAAUAGAAAGGGAAUGAAAAGUCAUUCCCAAUGCCUUAGUCUUAGGUUCUAUAAAGUAUGCUAUGUUGUGUACCAGACCUAUUGUAUACCUUGUUCUGAGUUUGGCAAAGGAAUACAAUUUUGAUCUAAGAGUAUAUCACUAGAUAGCGGUCAAGAAUAUCCUUAGUAAGGACUAAGGAGAUGUUUCUCGAUGAUGGAGGUGAUAAAAGAGUUCGUCGUAAAGAGUUACAUCGAUGCAAGCUUUUACACCGAUCUAGAUGAAUCUAAGUAUCAAUCUGGAUACAUAUUAAAAGUGGGAGCAAUUAGCUAGAGUAGAUCUGUGCAGAGCAUUGUACACAUAGAAUAUUUGCAAAAUACAUGCGGCUCUGAAUGUAACAGACCCUUUGACUAAACUUCUCUCAUGAGAAAAACAUGAUCAUACCUUAGUACUCUUUGAGUGUUAAUCACAUAGCGUUGUGAACUAGAUUAUUGACUCUAGUAAACCCUUUGGGUGUUGAUCACAUAACGAUGUGAACUAUGGGUAUUAAUCAUAUACAGAUGUGAAUAUUAGUGUUAAAUCACAUGGCGAUGUGAACUAGAUUAUUGACUCUAGUGCAAGUGGGAGACUGAAGGAAAUAUUCCCUAGAGGCAAUAAUAAAGUUAUUAUUUAAUUCCUUAUUUAAUGAUAAAUGUUUAUUAUUCAUGCUAGAAUUGUAUGAACCGGAAACAUAAUACAUGUGUGAAUACAUAGACAAACAAAGUGUCACUAGUGUGCCUCUACUUGACUAGCUUGUUGAUCAAAGCUUGUUAUGUUUCCUGGCCAUAGACAUGUGUUGUCAUUUGAUUAACGGGAUCACAUCAUUAGGAGAAUGAUGUGAUUGACAUGACCCAUUCCGUUAGCUUAGCACACAAUCAUUUAGUAUGUUGCUAUUGCUUUCUUCAUGACUUAUAGAUGUUCCUAUGACUAUGAGAUUAUGCAACUCCCGUUUACCAGAGAAACACUUUGUGUGCUACCAAACGUCACAACGUAACUGGGUGAUUAUAAAGGUGCUCUACAGGUGUCUCCGAAGGUACAUGUUGGGUUGGCAUAUUUCAAGAUUAGGAUUUGUCACUCCGAUUGUCGGAGACGUAUCUCUGGGCCCUCUCGGUAAUACACAUCACUUAAGCCUUGCAAGUAUUGCAACUAAUGAGUUAGUUGUGGGAUGGUGUAUUACGAAACGAGUAAAGAGACUUGCCGGUAAUGAGAUUGAACUAGGUAUUGAGAUACCGACGAUCGAAUAUCGGGCAAGUAACAUACCGAUGACAAAGGGAACAAUGUAUGUUGUUAUGCGGUCUGACCGAUAAAGAUCUUCGUAAAAUAUGUGGGAACCAAUAUGAGCAUCCAGGUUCUGCUAUUGGUUAUUGACCGAAGACGUGUCUCGGUCAUGUUUACAUUGUUCUCGAACCCGUAGGGUCCGCACGCUUAAGGUUUCGAUGACAGUUAUAUUAUGAGUUUAUGAGUUUUGAUGUACCGAAGGAGUUCAGAGUCCCGGAUGAGAUCGGGGACAUGACGAUGAGUCUCAAAAUGGUCGAGACAUAAAUUUCUAUAUAUUGGACGACUAUAUUCGGAGUUCUGAAAGGUUCCGAGUGUUUCGGGUAUUUUUCGGAGUACAGGAGAGUUACGGGAAUUCGCCGGGGAGUAUAUGGGCCUUAUUGGGCCAUACGGGAAUAGAGGAGAGAGGCCAAAAGGAAGGAGGCCUGCGCCCCACCUCUGGUCCGAAUUGGACAAGGGGCGCAACCCCUUUUUCCUUCUUCCUCUCCCCCUCUUUCCCCUUCUCCUACUCCAACAAGGAAGGAGGGAGUCCUACUCCCUGUGGGAGUAGGACUCCCCUUGGCGCACCCCCUCCUAGGACGGCCGCCACCUCCCCCUUGCUCCUUUAUAUACGGGGGUAGGGGGGCACCUCUAGACACAACAACACUUGAUCCUUGAGAUCUCUUAGCCGUGUGCGGUGCCCCCUCCACCAUAGUCCUCGAUAAUAUUAUAGCUGUUCUUAGACAAAGCCCUGCGACAGUAGAACAUCAAGAUCGUCACCACGCCGUCGUGCUGAUGGUACUCUUCCCCGACACUUUGCUGGUCGGAGUCCGGGGAUCAUCAUCGAGCUGAACGUGUUCUAGAACUCGGAGGUGCCGUAGUUUCGGUGCUUGAUCGGCCGGGCCAUGAAGACGUACGACUACAUCAACCGCGUUGUUAUAACGCUUCCGCUUUCGGUCUACGAGGGUACGUGGACAUACUCCCCCCUCUCGUUGCUAUGCAUCACCAUGAUCUUGCGUGUGCGUAGGAAAUUUUUUGAAAUUACUACGCUCCCAAACAAUAGUUUCAUCAUAAGCAUCAUGCAUUGCACAAGUGGCAUCAUCAAUAACGUGCGACAUAUUAGAAUCAAUAGGGGGUGAAGGUGUCACAAAUUUACUCAUAAUAGAAGGUGAAUCAAGUGCAUAGCUAGAUGGGAGUUCCUCACCUACCCUCGUAGUUGAGGGGAAAAUCUUGGUUCUUUCAUCUUUCAAGUUCCUCAUAGUGAUCAGCAGCUAUAAAUCCCAAGUGACUCAAAGAAUAGAGCUAUGCUCCCGGGCAACGGAGCCAGGAAAGAGUCUUGAUAACUCACAAGUAUAGGCGAUUGUAACAAUUUUCGAUGGUAGAGUAUUCAACCCAAAUUUAUUGAUUCGACACAAGGGGAGCCAAAGAAUAUUCUCAAGUAUUAGCAACUGAGUUGUCAAUUCAACCACACCUGAAAGACUUAAUAUCUACAGCAAAGUAUUUAGUAGCAAAGUAGUAGAAAGUAACGGUAACGGUGGCAAAAGUAACAUUAACGGUUUUGUAGCAAUUCUAACAGUGGCAAUGGAGAAGUAACUUAGCAAAAAUCAAUAUGUGAAAAUCUCGUAGGCAAUGGAUCAAUGAUGGAUAAUUAUGUUAGAUGCAAUUCAUCAUGCAACAUUUAUAACAUAGGGUGACACAGAACUAGCUCCAGUUCAUCAAUAUAAUGUGGGCAUGUGUUCCGAAAUAGUCAUACGUGCUUAUGGAAAAGAACUUGCAUGACAUCUUUUGUCCUACCCUCCCGUGGCAGCGGGGUCGUAUUGGAAACUAAGGGAUAUUAAGGCCUCCUUUUAAUAGAGUACCGGACCAAAGCAUUAACACUUAGUUAAUACAUGAACUCCUCAAACUACGGUCAUCACUGGGAGUGGUCCCGAUUAUUGUCACUUCGGGGUUGCCGGAUCAUAACACAUACUAGGUGACUAUUGACUUGCAAGAUAGGAUCAAGAACUCACAUAUAUUCAAGAAAACAUAAUGAGUUUAGAUCUGAAAUCAUGGCACUCGGGCCCUAGUGACAAGCAUUAAGCAUGGCAAAGUCAUAGCAACAUCAAUAUUAGAACAUAAUUGAUACUAGGGAUCAAACCCUAUAAAAACUAACUCGAUUACAUGGUAAAUCUCAUCCAUCCCAUCACCGUCCAGAAAGCCUACGAUGGGAUUACUGACGCACGGCGGUGAGCAUCAUGAAAUUGGUGAUGGAGGAUGGUGUUGGGGAACAUAGUAAUUUUAAAAAAUAUCCUACGCACAGGUGUAAAAGAUUGAGUGGGAUGGUUAUAGUAAGGGGCGAACCAAGUGCUUGCGCGAAGAAGCGAAUCAAUCAGAAUGGAGAUAAGGAAAGGAAUCGAGGCCCGGCCGCAAGAUCAUGGUGAUGCAUUGCAAUGACAGGGGGAGUGUAUCUUCAUACCCUUGAAGAUUGCUAAGCGGAAGCGUUUAUCAACGCGGUUGAUGUAGUCGUACGUCUUCACGAUCCGACCGAUCCAAGUACCGAAUGCACGGCACUUCCGAGUUCUACACACGUUCAGCUCGAUGACGUCCUCGCCUUCUCGAUCCAGCAAGAUGGGCGAAGUAGUAGAUGAGUCCGGCAGCACGACGGCGUGGUGACGGUGUUGGUGAAGAACAAUCUCCGCAGGGCUUCGCCUAAGCACUACGGAAACUAUGAUGGAGGAUAAACUAGAGGGGACGGGGUUGCCGGCACACGGCUUGGUGUUUCUUGAUGUGUCUUGGGUGCUAGCCCUACACCUCUAUUUAUAUGUUGAGCCUUGGUGUCGAAACUUGGAGUAAAAGCCUCCUCAAAGUCGGUUUUGUCCGAAAGGCAAGAGUCCUUCUCGGACUCCAGGGCCAGACGCCAGGGUUCCUAGCAUCUGGACCCAGAUGCCAGGGACCCUGGCGUCUGGCCCCUGGACUCCGCAAAACUUCCUUUUGCGCUUUCCAAAAACCUUGUGGGCUUUCCCCUUUGGCCCAAAUAACGUGUUCUUGUAACCAAACAUUUCGGGAAACAUCCGGAACCCCUUACGGUGGAUUCCGGAACCUUUCCGGAGAUUAAACACUACUAUCCACAUAUCAAUCUUUACUUCCAGACCAUUUCGGAGUUCCUCGUCAUAUCCGUGAUCUCAUCCAAAAACUCCGAACAACAUUCGGUCGCCAACAUACAUAACUCAUAGUACUAUAUCGUCAACGAACGUUAAGCGUGCGGACCCUAUGGGUUCGAGAACUAUUUAGACAUGACCGAGACACGUCUCUGGUCAAUAACCAAUAGCGGGACCUGGAUGCCCAUCUUGGCUCCCACAUAUUCUACAAAGAUAUUUAUCGGUCAAACCGCAUAACAACAUACGUUGUUCCCUUUGCCAUCGGUAUGUUACUUGCCCGAGAUUCGAUCGUUGUUAUCUCAAUACCUAGUUCAAUCUCGUUACCGGCAAGUCUCUUUACUCGUUCCGUAAUACAUCAUCUCGUAACUAACUCAUUAGUUGCAAUGCUUGCAAGGAUUAAGUGAUGUGCAUUACCUAGAGGGCCCAGAGAUACCUCUCCGACAAUCAGAGAGACAAAUCCUAAUCUCGAAAUACGCCAACCCAACAAGUACCUUCGGAGACACCUGUAGAGCACCUUUAUAAUCACCCAGUUACGAUGUGAUGUUUGGUAGCACACAAAGUGUUCCUCCGAUAAACGGGAGUUGCAUAAUCUCAUAGUCAUAGGAACAUGUAUAAGUCAUAAAGAAAGCAAUAGCAACAUACUAAACGAUCAAUUGCUAAGCUAACAGAAUGGGUCAAGUCAAUCACAUCACUCUCCUAAUGAUGUGAUCCCGUUAAUCAAAUGACAACUCAUGUCUAUGGCUAGGAAAUUUAACCAUCUUUGAUCAACGAGCUAGUCAAGUAGAGGCAUACUAGUGACACUCUGUUUGUCUAUGUAUCCAGACAUGUACUAAGUUUCCGGUUAAUGCAAUUCUAGCAUGAAUAAUAAACAUUUAUUUUUAUAUAAGGAAAUAAAUAAUAACUUUAUUAUUGCCUCUAGGGCAUAUUUCCUUAAGUCUCCCACUUGCACUAGAGUCAAUAAUCUAGAUCACAUCGCCAUGUGAUUUAACAUCAAUAGUUCACAUCACCAUGUGAUUAACACCCAUAGUUCACAUCGUCAUGUAACCAACACCCAAAUGGUUUACUAGAGUCAAUAAUCUAGUUCACACCGCUAUGUUAUUAACACCCAAAGAGUACUAAGGUAUGAUCAGGUUUUGCUUGUGAGAGAAGUUUAGUCAACGGGUCUGUCAUAUUCAGAGCCGUAUGUAUUUUGCAAGUAUUCUAUGUCUACAAUGCUCUGCACGGAGCUACUCUAGCUAAUUGCUCCCAUUUUCAAUAUGUAUCCAGAUUGAGACUUAGAGUCAUCUGGAUCAGUGUAAAAGUUUGCACCGAUGUAACUUUUACAACGAAAUCUUUUAUCACCUCCAUAAUCGAGAAACAUCUCCUUAGUCCUCACUAAGGAUAUUCUUGACCGCUUUCCAGUGAUCUACUAUUAGAUCAAAAUUGUAUUCCUUUGUCAAACUCAGAGCAAGUUAUACAAUAGGUCUGGUUCAGAGCAUAGCAUACUUUAUAGAACCUAUGACUGAGGCAUAGGGAAUGACUUUUCAUUCUCUUUCUAUUUUCUGCCAUGGUUGGGUAGUCUUACUCAACUUCACACCUUGCAACACAGGCAAGAACUCCUUCUUUGACUGUUCCAUUUUGAACUAUUUCAAAAAAAAUAUCAAUGUAUGUACUAAUUGAAAAAUCUUAUCAAGCAUCUUGAUCUAUCUAUAUAGAUCUUGAUGCUCAAUGUGUAAGCAGCUUCACCGAGGUCUUGCUUUGAAAAACUCUUAUUCAAGUAUCCUUUCAUGCUAUCCAGAAUUUCUAUAUCAUUUCCAAUCAACAAUAUGUCAUCCACAUAUAAUAUUAGAAAUGCUACAGAGCUCGCACUCACUUUCUUGUAAAUACAGGCUUCUCAAAAAGUCUGUAUAAAACCAUAUGCUUUGAUCAACUCAUCAAAGCGUAUAUUCCAACUUCGAGAGGCUUGCACCAGUCCAUAAAUGGAUCACUGGAGCUUGCACACUUUGUUAGCACCUUUAGGAUUGACAAAACCUUUUGGUUUCAUCAUAUACAACUCUUCUUUAAUAAAUUCAUUAAGGAAUGCAAUUUUGACAUCCUUUUUCCAGAUUUCAUAAAAUGUGGCAAUUGCUAACAUGAUUCGGACAGACUUAAGCAUCGAUAUGAGUGAGAAAAUCUCAUCGUAUUCAACACCCUGAACUCGUCGAAAAACCUUUUAUGCGACAAGUCGAGCUUUGUAGAUAGUAACACUACUAUCAGCGUCCGUCUUCCUCUUGAAGAUCCAUUUAUUUACUAUGGCUUGCCGAUCAUCGGGCAAGACAACCAAAGUCCACACUUUGUUCUCAUACAUGGAUCCCAUCUCAGAUUUCAUGGCCUCAAGCCAUUUCAUGGAAUCUGGGCUCAUCAUCGCUUCCUCAUAGUUCGUAGGUUCAUCAUGGUCUAGUUACAUGACUUCCAGAAUAGGAUUACCGUACUACUCUGGUGCGGAUCUUAUUCUGGAAGACCUACGAGGUUCUGUAGUAACUUGAUCUGAAGUUUCAUAAUCAUCAUCAUUAGCUUCCUCACUAAUUGGUGUAGGAAUGACUGAAACUGAUUUCUGUGAUGAACUACUUUCCAAUAAGGGAGAAGGUACAAUUGCCUCAUCAAGUUCUACUUUCCUCCCACUCACUUCUUUCGAGAGAAACUCCUUCUCUAGAAAGGAUCCAUCUUAGCAACGAAUAUCUUGCUUUCGGAUCUGUGAUAGAAGGUGUACCCAACAGUUUUCUUUGGGUAUUCUAUGAAGACGCACUUCUCCGAUUUGGGUCGAGCUUAUCAGGUUGAAACUUUUUCACAUAAGCAUCGCAGACCCAAACUUUAAGAAACGACAACUUUGGUUUCUUGCCAAACCACAGUUCAGAAGCCGUCGUCUCAAUGGAUUUUGAUGGUGCCCUAUUUAAAGUGAACGCAACUAUCUCUAAUGCAUAACCUCAAAACGGUAGUGGUAAAUCGGUAAGAUACAUCAUAGAUCGCACCAUAUCCAAUAAAGUGCGGUUAUGACGUUCGGACACACCAUUACGUUGUGGUGUUUCAUGUGGCGUGAGCUGUGAAACUAUUCCACAUUGUUUAAAAUGAAGGCCAAACUCGUAGCUCAAAUAUUCAUCUCUACGAUCAGAUCAUAGAAACUUUAUUUUCUUGUUACGAUGAUUUUUCCACUUCACUCUGAAAUUCUUUGAACUUUUCAACUAUUUCAGACUUAUGUUUCAUCAUGUAGAUAUACGCAUAUCUGCUCAAAUCAUCUGUGAAGGUCAGAAAAUAAUGAUACUUGCCACAAGCAUCAACACUCAUUGGAUCGCAUACAUCAGUAUGUACUAUUUCCAACAAGUCAGUAGCUCGUUCCAUUGUUCCGGAGAAUGGAGUUUUAGUCAUCUUGCCCAAAAGGCACGGUUCACAAGCAUCAAAUGAUUAAUAACCAAGUGAUUCCAAAAGUCCAUCUUUAUGGAGUUUCUUCAUGCGCUUUACACCGAUAUGACCCAAACGGCAGUGCCACAAAUAAGUUACACUAUCAUUGUCAACUUUGCAUCUUUUGGCAUCAAUAUUAUGAAUAUGUGUAUUACUACGAUCAAGAUCCAACAAACUAUUUUCAUUGGGUGUAUGACCAUCGAAGGUUUUAUUUAUGUAAACAGAACAACAAUUAUUCCUUGACUUUAAGUGAAUAACCGUAUCGCAAUAAACAUGAUCAAAUCAUAUUCAUGCUCAACGCAAAUGCCAAAUAACAUUUAUUUAGGUUUUACACUAAUCCCGAAAGUAUAGGGAGUGUGCGAUGAUGAUCAUAUCAAUCUUGGAACCAUUUCCAAUACACAUCAUCACUUCACCCUCAACUAGUCUCUGUUUAUUCUGUAACUCCUGUUUCGAGUCACUAAUUUUUAGCAACCGAACAAGUAUCGAAUACUCAGGGUCUACUAUAAACACUAGUAAGGUACACAUCAAUAACCUGUAUAUCAAAUAUACCCUUGUUCACUAUGCCAUCCUUCUUAUCCACCAAAUAUUCAGGGUAUUUCCGUUUCAAGUGACCAUUUCCUUUGUAGUGUAAGCACUCAGUUUCAGGCUUUGGUUCAGCUUUGGGCUUCUUCAUGGGAGUGACAACUUGCUUUUCAUUCUACUCGAAGUUCCCUUUCUUUUCCUUUGCCAUUUUCUUGAAACUAGUGAUCUUGUCAACCAUCAACACUUGAUGCUCUUUCUUGAUUUCUACCUUCGUUGAUUUCAACAUCACGAAGAGCUCGGAAUCAUUUUCGUCAUCCCUUGCAUACUAUAGUUCAUCACAAAGUUCUACUAACUUGGUGAUGGUGACUAGAGAACUCUGUCAAUCACUAUCUUAUCUGGAAGAUCAACUCCCACUUGAUUCAAGCGAUUGUAGUACCCAGACAAUCUGAGCACAUGCUCACUAGUUGAGCGAUUCUCCUCCAUCUUUUAGCCAUAGAACUUGUUGGAGACUUCAUAUCUCUCAACUCGGGUAUUUGCUUGAAAUAUUAACUUCAACUCCUGGAACAUCUCAUAUGAUCCAUGACGUUCAAAACGUCUUUGAAGUCCCGAUUCUAAGCCGUUAAGCAUGGUUCACUAAACUAUCAAGUAGUCAUCAUAUUGAGCUAGCCAAAUGUUCAUAACGUCUGCAUCUGCUCCUCAAUAGGUCUGUCACCUAGCGGUGCAUUACGGACAUAAUUCGUCUGUGUAGCAAUGAGGAUAAACCUCAGAUCAUGGAUCCAAUACGCAUCAUUGCUACUAACAUCUUUCAACACAAUUUUCUCUAGGAACAUAUCAAAAUAAACAUAUGAAAGCAACAACGCAAGCUAUUGAUCUACAACAUAAUUUGCAAAAUACUACCAGGACUAAGUUCAUGAUAAAUUUAAGUUCAAUUAAUCAUAUUACUUAAGAACUCCCACUUAGAUAGACAUCCCUAUAAUCCUCUAAGUGAUCACGUGAUCCAAAUCAACUAAACCAUGUCCGAUCAUCACGUGAGAUGGAGUAGUUUCAAUGAUGAACAUCACUAUGUUGAUCAUAUCUACUAUAUGAUUCACGCUCGACCUUUCGGUCUCCGUGUUCCGAGGCCAUAUAUGUAUAUGCUAGGCUCGUCAAGUUUAACCUGAGUAUUCCGCGUGUGCAACUGUUUUGCACCUGUUGUAUUUGAACGUAGAGCCUAUCACACCUGAUCAUCACGUGGUGUCUCAGCACGAAGAACUUUCGCAACGGUGCAUACUCAGGGAGAACACUUCUUGAUAAUUAGUGAGAGAUCAUCUUAAAAUGCUACCGUCAAUCAAAGCAAGAUAAGAUGCAUAAAGGAUAAACGUCACAUGCAAUCAAUAUAAGUGAUAUGAUAUGGCCAUCAUCAUCUUGUGUUUGUGAUCUCCAUCUCCGAAGCACCGUCGUGAUCACCAUCGUCACCGGCGCGACACCUUGAUCUCCACCGUAGCAUCGUUGUCGUUUACGCCAUCUAUUGCUUCUACGACUAUCGCUACCGCUUAGUGAUAAAGUAAAGCACUUACAGGGCGCUUGCAUUUCAUACAAUAAAGCAACAACCAUAUGGGUCCUGCCAGUUGCCGAUAACUCGGUUACAAAACAUGAUCAUCUCAUACAAUAAAAUAUAGCAUCACGUCUUGACCAUAUCACAUCACAACAUGCCUUGCAAAAACAAGUUAGACUUCCUCUACUUUGUUGUUUCAAAUUUUACGUGGCUGCUACAGGCUGAGCAAGAACCGUUCUUACCUACGCAUCAAAACCACAAUGAUAGUUCGUCAAGUUAGUGAUGUUUUAACCUUCGCAAGGACCGGGCGUAGCCACACUCGGUUCAACUAAAGUUGGAGAAACAGACACCCGCCAGCCACCUGUGUGCAAAGCACGUCAGUAGAAACAGUCUCGCAUAAGUGUACGCGUAAUCUCGGUCCGGGCCGCUUCAUCCAACAAUACCGCCGAACCAAGGUAUGACAUGCUGGUAAGCAGUAUGACUUGUAUCGCCCACAACUCAUUUGUGUUCUACUCGUGCAUAUAACAUCUACGCAUAAAACCUGGCUCGGAUGCCACUGUUGGGGAACGUAGUAAUUUUAAAAAAUAUCCUACGUACACGCAAGAUCAUGGUGAUGCAUAGCAACGAGAGGGGGAGUGUAUCUUCAUAUCCUUGAAGAUCGCUAAGCGGAAGCGUUUAUCAACGCGGCUGAUGUAUUCGUACGUCUUCAUGAUUCGACCGAUCCAUGUACCGAACGCAUGGCACCUCUGAGUUUUGCACAUGUUCAACUCGAUGACGUCCUCGCCUUCUUGAUCCAGAGAGACGGGCGAAAUAGUAGAUGAGUUCCGGCAGCACGACGGCAUGGUGACGGUGUUGGUGAAGAAGAAUCUCCGCAGGGCUUCGCCUAAGCACUACAGAAACUAUGACGGGGGAUAAACUAGAGGGGACGGGGUUACCGGCACACGGCUUGGUGUUUCUUGAUGUGUCUUGGGUGCUAGCCCUACCCCUCUAUUUAUAUGUUGAGCCUUGCGGUCGAAACUUGGAGUAAAAGCCUCCUCAAAGUCGGUUUUGCCCGAAAGGCAAGAGUCUGGACUCCACAAAACUUCCUUUUGCGCUUUCCAAAAACCUUGUGGGCUUUCCCCUUUGGCCCAAAUAACGUGUUCUUGUACCCAAACAUUUCGGGAAACAUCCGGAACCCCUUCAGGUGGAUUCCGGAACCUUUCCGGAGAUCAAACACUACUAUCCACAUAUCAAUCUUUACUUCCGGACCAUUCUGGAGUUCCUCUUCAUAUCCGUGAUCUCAUCCAAAAACUCCGAACAACAUUCGAUCACCAACAUACAUAACUCAUAGUACUAUAUCGUCAACGAACGUUAAGUGUGCGGACCCUACGGGUUCAAGAACUAUGUAGACAAGACCGAGACACAUCUCUGGUCAAUAACCAAUAGCGGGACCUGGAUGCCCAUAUUGGCUCCCACAUAUUCUACGAAGAUCUUUAUCGAUCAAACCGCAUAACAACAUACGUUGUUCCCUUUGUCAUCAGUAUGUUACUUGCCCGAGAUUCGAUCGUCGGUAUCUCAAUACCUAGUUCAAUAUCAUUACCGGCAAGUCUCUUUACUCGUUCCGUAAUACAUCAUCUCGCAACUAACUCAUUAGUUGCAAUGCUUGCAAGGCUUAAGUGACGUGCAUUACCGAGAGGGCCCAGAGAUACCUCUCCGACAAUCGGAGUGACAAAUCCUAAUCUCGAAAUACGCCAACCCAACAAGUACCUUCGGAGACACCUGUAGAGCACAUUUAUAAUCACCCAGUUACGUUGUGAUGUUUGGUAGCACACAAAGUGUUCUUCCGGUAAACGGGAGUUGCAUAAUCUCAUAGUCAUAGGAACAUGUAUAAGUCAUGAAGAAAGCAAUAGCAACAUACUAAACGAUCGAUUGCUAAGCUAACGGAAUGGGUCAAGUCAAUCACAUCAUUCUCCUAAUGAUGUGAUCCCGUUAAUCAAAUGACAACUCAUGUCUAUGGCUAGGAAAUAAGGAAAUAAAUAAUAACUUUAUUAUUGCCUCUAGGGCAUAUUUCCGAUGGUUGAUGAUGACGAUAGUGACAGAUUCCCCUCUCCGGAGCCCCGAACGGCUCCAGAUCAGCCCUCACGGGGAAGAUUAGGGCUUGGCGGUGGCUCCGUAUCGUAAAACAUGAUGAAUCCUUCUCUUUAAUUUUUUUUUCUCUUCAAACGUGAUUAUAUAGAGUUGGAGUUGAGGUUGGUGGAGGUCUAGGGGGCCCACGAGGCAGGGGGCGCGCCCUAGGGGGGUGGACGCGCCCUGCACCCUCGUGGACAGGGUGUGGGCCCCCUUAUGCUUAUUCUUUUGCCAAUGUUGUUUAUUAAUUCCAAAACGUGUCUCCGUCGAUUUUCAGGUCAUUCCGAGAACUUUUAUUUCUGCACAAAAAUAACACCAUGGGAAUUCUGCUGAAAACAGCGUUAGUCCGGGUUAGUUCCAUUCAAAUCAUGCAAGUUAGAAUCCAAAAGAAGAGCAAAAGUGUUUGGAAAAGUAGAUACAUUGGAGACGUAUCAGUCGCUUCCCGCUGCUUGGCCUGGCCAAAUUUGACCUUUAGUACCGGUUAGUGGCUCCAAUCGGUACUAAAGGUCCAUCCUAUAUAAGCAAUGCUGACGAAAAUUUCAGUUUCUUCUCCUCUUCCUCUGCUUCUUCAACCUUGUCGCGCCGGCGCCCGUCCCCGGCGCCUCCCCGGCCUAUCGCCGCCCCCGUCACGCGCGGCUACUAUCGCCGUCCCCAUCGCCGCGCCCGUCCCUGUCAUUACACGCCGCCCCCGGCCCGUCCCCUCGCGCGCGUGCCGCCCCGGCCCGUCCCCGUCGCUGCCACCCGUCGUCGACCCCGUCGCCUCACAUCGCCGGUUGUCACCCAGCUGUAAGACCGUCCCUGCCGCGCCAUGGCCGCGCUCACACACACACUCAGUACACACGACACACACACAGAGAAAAUGUUAGAUGAUUAGAUGAAUUAGCUAGAUAUUAAUGUCAAAUGUUAGAUGAAUUUUAUGAAUUAGCUAGAUAUUAAUGUUAGAUGAGUAAGUUUUUUAAUUCUUUUAGUUAUAAAUGAAUUAGAUAUAUUGAUGUUAGAUAUUAGCAUGAAUAUAUAUAAACUUCAGGUUGUUAUCAAUUUGAUGAUAUUGUUCAAAAUGAAUGCCCACGAUAAACUCUAUUGACAAAUCUAACAACUCGCGAUGAACACAAAGGCCAAGAUAGCAAAAAAUAUUGACUCCAUUACAAUAUUUUCUAAGGCAUCAAAUGUUAAUAAUAGAUCAUAACUCAUAGGAAUAACCAACCUGGUAAAGUUUAUUCUAGCCGGUCUUCUAAAUUUCUACAAAUUAAUAGAACUAGUUGAAUUCUAUAUGAGAUUUGAAUUAGUAAGUUCUUAGUUGAAUUAGUACGAAAAUUAGUAAGUGCUUAGUUGAAUUAGUAAGAAAAUAAAUUAUUUUUAUUUAUAGUAAGUGCUUAGUUGAAUUAGUACAAGUUGAGUCAUCUAUUUUGGAACGGAGGAAGUAGUUGUGUAGAGGAAUAUAAUGGAAAAGGUCAUACUGUUUCAAUGGAUAGGUAAACAUUAAAAAAUGUCAUCCAUUUAAUACUCGAACAAAGGACAGUUCCUUACUAUGUUUAGAAGAAUAGCUUUAUACUCCCUCCGUUUCUUUUUGGUCUUCAUAUAAGAUUUGGUCAAAGUCAAACUUUGUAAAAUUUAACCAGCUUUAUAUGAAAAGAUAUCAACACUCACACUAUGAAAUCAAUGUUAUUAGAUGCAUUAUGGAAUUAAUUUUCAUAACAUAUAAAUUUUGUAUGGUAGAUGUUGAUUUUUUUCUAUGAAGUUAGUCAAACUUUAUAAAGUUUGACUUUGACCAAAUCUUAUAUGCAGACUAGAAAGAAACGGAGGGAGUAAUAAAGAAACGUCAGGCAACUGGCAGCCACCCUUGUGCGCUAAAAAUUGCAAUGGUGCAAAAACAAUUAAGUGGUAUACAUACUGUCAUGUUUGGUUUGCAUGAGUGUUUUAUCAAUUUAACGGAUUUAUAUGGUACGAUCUUAUAUAUAAUCUUAUUUAUUAGGUUCGUUAAUUGGCUCAGUGAUGUACACUUGAUAACCGCAGAUAAGUACGUACUCGUAGUAGCUAGCUAGCAAUGAUUCAGUCGUGCCACAUGCUCGCUUACAGGCCGCCAUGCAUGUAUCUUCUCCGAUGGACAGAAGUUCAAAUAUGACUUGGUGUCUCACACUCAAAUUAAUUUCUGAAACGGCUUAUCCAUGGAAAGAAUCUCUCGCACAAAUGACUAGAACAGCAGCUGAUCGAUGUUAGGUACGAGCAAACAAGUAUAUUGUAGUAAGAUAAACUCACAUUUAGUGCAAGUUGUGCAAUGCGAAAAGGACACAACACUAUUUAAAAAAUAAUAAUAGACCACUAGCAGAACAGUUGGUCUAUACUUUGUUCUAAUGUGCCAUGUUGCGAGAAAAAUAAAACCAGCCACCUACGAUUAAAAAUAUUGUAAUUCUCGUGAAACAACGAUUAUCCUGCGAUUCCCUGCUUCUAGCAUGCGCUUCCUAUCACCAGGCCACUAAGUCGGAAUUUCCGAGCGUAGCUUUUUCUUUCCCCUCUCGCAAGGCGACUAGGGAAAGCAUUUCUCCCUUCGAUCUUCCUCGGGUGAGCCCGUGGAUUCGCCUCCACUCCACCUGCCGUUUUAGCGGCCGAUAGCGGUCGGGAGGGUAUUUCUGGUGCCUCGGCUUAUAUAGGUAGGGUUUUGGUUCUUGCAAGGGCGGCGCUCGAACGGAUGGCAGAGCUUCUUCUUCGAGUCAGUCUUCUGGGCUCCCAUUCUCCUCAAGUUCGUUCCUGGGGAUGGAUUAGACAAAGCUCAAGUACGGAGUUUUUGCCAUGACACGCAGAGCACGAAGAAAGAAGAUGCAACGGCCAGCAGCCGUUGCCCAAAAUGGCAAUGGUGCAAAAAAGAUUAGGUGGUAUAUACGCCGGCAUGUUCGAUAGACACGACUUCAUCAUUUUAACAGAUUGAUACGGUUGUAUAUGUAAUUUAUUAGAUUUCUUAAUGAUUUAACCCCUAUGUGCUUUCCCUAAAGUUGCUAAACACGCUUUCAAAACUGCGUUAGGAAGGAUUUUCUUGACGUGCCAAGGCUAGUUCUGUACUUUUUUUGAACACGGUACAAAAACAAGCGCUCUUACAUACGCGCAUAUACUCACCCUUAUGAACGCACACACGCACACCCUACCCAUAUGAGCAUCUCCGAGAGACUGAGCCAGCAUAUCAUCUUGAGUCAACGAAAACGUCUCCUCCCACUGAUAGCGCAUCGCCGGAAAUCCUGAAAUUAAUUCAGAAAUAAUGCGAGCACCAGUACUAGUUGUGUGAAAGAAUAUAAUGGAAAAGGUUACACUGGUUGAAUGUUCAAGUAAACAUUCAAAAACUUCAUCCUUUCAAUACUCGAACAAAGUACAGUUCUGUACAAGUUAUGUUUGGAAGAUUCGGUGGUAUACAUACUGUCAUGUUUGGUUUGCAUGAGUGUUUUAUCGAUUUAACGGAAUGAUAUGGUACGUCUUAGUCCUAUAUAUAAUCUUAUCUAUUAGGAUAGUUAAUUGGCUCAGUGAUGUACACUUGACAACCGAAUAUAAGUACGUACUCAUAGUAGCUAGCUAGCAAUGAUUCGGUCGUACCACAUGCUCGCUUACAGGCCACCAUGCAUGGUUCUUCUCCGAUGGACAGAAGUUCAAAUAUGACUUGGUGUCUCACACUCAAAUUAGUUUCUGAAACGCAUUAUCCAUGGAAAGAUUCUCUAGCACAAAUGACUAGCACAACAGCUGAUCGAUGUUAGGUAUGAGCAAACAAGUACUCUCUCCGUUCCAAAAUAGAUGACCCAACUUUGCACUAACUGGUCAUCUAUUUUAGAACGGAGGGAGUACAUUAUAGUAACAUAAACUCACAUUUAGUUCAAGUUGUGCAAUGCGAAAAGGACACAACACUAUUUAGCGGAAUAGUUGGUGUAUACUUUGUUCUAAUGUGCCAUGUUGCGAGAAAAAAAAACACCACAUAGAAAUAAAAAAAAUGUAAAUCUCGUGAAACAGGGAUGGAACCCGCGACUCCGUGUCAUUAGCAUGCGCUUCCUUUGAACCAGGCCACUAAGCAAGUUCUACACACGUGUGCAUACAUUUUCUCUUUGACCUUGUUCACUUAUUUAAAUUCAAAACAAUUUGAUUUUUUCAGACGGUAUUUCAUUGUUUCGCGAAUUUCCAAAAAUCUCGUUUGAAAAAAAAAAAACCUGCGACAGUACAUCAGCCACCCACGACGUGCUGCUGCGAUGGAACUAGCUAGGCGCCCGCCUAUAUAACCAUGAGGUCCGGUGCAUGUAUUCCAGACAAGGAUACAACCUGAGCUAAUCAAGAUGGCUUCCUCCACGCCUUACCGUGUCCUACUCUUGUGCCUCACCACUUUCCUGCAGGCAUGGCUUGCUGCGGCAAAAUACCCGCCGCAUAACCCACCGCCGCCGCCCCCGCCGUUUGAGCUGCCGGAGUCCGAGGUGAGGGAGAGGUUCUCCAAGUGGGUGAUCAAGUACUCAAAGCACUACUCGUGCCAUGAGGAGGAGGAGAUGCGGUUCCAAGUCUUCAAGAACAACACCAACGCCAUCGGCCAAUUCGACCAACAGAAUCCUGGCACCGUCGUCGGUCGCGGGUUCCGACCAACUGGGUUUCAGGUCCGUGGCUCGGGCGGGGUCCGUAUGAACAGGUUCGGCGACCUCAGCCCCAGGGAGGUCAUCCAGCAGUUCACCGGGCUCAACACCACCAGCUUCAAUGCCACGUCACCCACCUACCUCCCCUACCACUCCUUCAAGCCCUGCUGCGUUGACUGGCGCUCCAGCGGCGCUGUCACCGGCGUCAAGAAUCAAGGCACUUGUGGUAAGUGGUCAAGCUAUACUUUCUACUAGCAGAUUUAGUUAUAUACUCAUGCAUGCUCAUGGUUGCUCAAUGAAUUACUCGUGUCGUCGUGCGGAUGGAUAAAAUUGUAAUAUGGCAGGAUCAUGCUGGGCAUUCGCGGCGGUGGCGGCGAUCGAAGGCAUGAACAAGAUUAGGACAGGGGAGCUGGUGUCGCUGUCCGAGCAGGUACUCGUGGAUUGCGACACACGGAGCGGCGGCUGCGGCGGCGGCCACUCAGACUCGGCUAUGGCCCUCGUGGCCGCCCGUGGUGGCAUCACGUCGGAGGAGAGGUACCCAUACGCCGGAUUCCAGGGAAAGUGCGACAUGGACAAGCUCCUCUUCGACCACCAGGCGUCCCUCAAGGGCUUCAAGGCCGUGCCACCCAACAACGAAGGUCAGCUGGCGAUUGCCGUGGCCAUGCAGCCCGUGACGGUCUACAUUGACGCCAGCGGUUUUGAGUUCCAGUUCUACUCCGGCGGCAUCUACCGUGGCCCCUGCUCCGCCAAUGUGAACCACGCCGUCACCAUCGUCGGCUACUGCGAGGGUCCCGGCGAGGGAAACAAGUACUGGAUUGCCAAGAACUCGUGGAGCAACGACUGGGGUGAACAAGGAUAUGUCUACCUCGCAAAGGACGUGCCCUCGUCCACGGGCACAUGUGGCCUCGCCACCUCGCCCUUCUACCCCACGGCUUGACCACAGGCAGCACUAUGUGUGAUAUCUAAGGAAUUGCUUCCGUUUCGUUGUGAUAAUGCUAAAUUAUUAUUUUGAUUAUACUUCCCUUUAAUUUGAUCAAUAAUAGGUAGACCAUGCGUGCAAUAUAUCAUGGCCUGAGUAAUAAAGUUUCGAGUGAAUUACACUUUUUACAAGUUAAUUGUGCAAUUUUUUGUGACACGUAUUUACCGAUUUAGCAGAUGUUGCAUCGAAAUGUCCCAUCUAAAAAACAUUGUACCAGAUUUUACUCCAUUUUAGCAUUUCGCCUAUUAUUAGAUAUGACCCGCAUGUUAGGUAGGUACUUUAACAACAAUGUGUAAACAUCUCAGGACAGGAUGGACUAUCAUGUUUAGCCUUCUCUUCUCCAUGCAUUCCACUGCUCGCCAUCCUUAUGGUAUCCUCUAACGGUGAUCAUCGCCGCACGCAUUUUACAAUCGACACCCAUGAGAGAAACAUGGUACAAAGUUUUAAAAUAGGGUAAUGUAGACGAAUGCUCAUGAAAUGGGUUAACUGGUUCCGCGAAUGUACAAAUUGGAGGUAAAAAGUGAAGCUCAGUCUGAAUUUACAGAUAACAUGUUGGGUACUAUCAUGCUCGUGUGUUCUCUUCUUUGUUUCUACUUCUCUGUGAGGAUUAUUUUUCUAAAAUCAAAUUUGCAUGUGCAAUGAGCAUUUUUACGGUACCGUUAAAAACAUAUGAAACCUCCAUUUGUUAGAUUGUGAUGGCUGAAGAUUAGACGUAGAUAUAUAGGAUUGCCACCUCUAAAAUCUGUGGGGUACAUUUUGAAGUCGUAAUCAAGACAAAAUUACUAUGCCGUCAGAUCAUCUCAAUUGUGCUCCUGUUAUUAUGUACGCAUACCCCCAUAUUUUGUUCGUUUCUGGACGUCUAAACACAAGAUCUGAACGAAUCAGGGCGGAUGUCCCCCAAGUGUACCCCCAAAUGGAUUACUAUUUCCGCGACCAAUUAAGCAUCUAAUAGCGAAUAUUGCAAAGUAACAUAGAACAGGAAAAUGUAUACUAGUAGUCCUUGCAUCUGAAACUUUUCUCAUUUAUCCUAUAGCAAUUCUGUCAGUAAAUCCAUCCACAUCUCUAGGAUGUGGUUCCUCGAUGCUGCCCACAAAGGGCAACUUGCAAACCAAACAAAAAUCAUAGAGUGACAUCUCCUUAACCUCAUCAUAUAAGUAAAACUCCACUGAAGGUGGUGAUUUUCUAGCAUGGAAAUAAAAGUUUUGCAUGAAAAUAUUAGUGAGUAGGAGAUACUGUUUACACUGGUCGUGGAGGAAGUCGGUGAUGCCUGCAUUCUCAGCCAAAUAAUAAAAGUCGUCGUAAAUUCUGGCGGCUCUCAAAAAUGCAUCACAAGGCCAUUCGCACGACCGAACCUCCACAACGCGAGGAAGAUUGUAUUUGGGCUUUUUAUUCUCCUCAUUCUGCUUAUCAUUCGAGCUUCGACUCGAGGAGCCCCGCAGCAAUCACUUCAUCAUUUUCGUUCUCUGAAAAAAUUCUGAAUUUUUUAGUGACUCAAAAUAGAAGUGAAUCAGACUCAACAAAAUUGAUAGCAACUACUCCCACAAAAACUAAUUGGACCAUUGGAGGAGUCACAUACCGAAGAACAACCCCCCCAAAGCAGUUUUGUGAAUGGAGCUUUGAGCAAGGAGAUCGAAAAUGGCAGCAAACCGAGCUAGAACACGAGUUUGAGCUACAGGAUGAUUUUUUGGAGGAAGACGAAGUGUGUGGGUGCUGGAAUAAGUGGAGAGGGGCCACGUGGGUCCACGAGGCAGGGGGCGCGCCCGAGGGGUGUGGGCGCGCCCUGUGCCCUUGUGGCCAAAUGGUGGGUACCCCUGGUGUGUUCUAAGUGCCAGAAAUUCUUAAAUAUUCUAUAAAAAAUCAUACUUCAUUUUCAGGGCAUUUAGAGAACUUUUAUUUUCAGGGUAUUUUUUAUUGCAAGGAUAAUUCAAAAAACAGACAGAAAAUACUAUUUUUACUUUAUUUAAUCUAAAUAACAGAAAGUAAAAUGAUGGUACAGAGAGUUUUGCUUUCUAAUUUCAUCCAUCUCAUACUCAUCAAAAGGAAUCCACUAACAAGGUUGAUCAAGUCUUGUUAACAAACUACUUCUGAAUAACAUGUAACCAGAGAAUUUCCGAAUACCACUAGGUUACCUCAACGGGGAUAUGCAUGUCCCCAAUAUUAAGAAUAUCAUAUUUUUUUUACAGUAGGAAGAGGUAAUUCAAAACCUCUAAUAGUAAUCAUUGAAAAAUUUCCAAUAGAAUUGAUACUAUGAACUUGAGGUUGUUUCUUCAGACAGUGUAUCGUAUGCUCAUUAUCAUUAACAUGAAAGGUGACACUGCCUUUGUUGCAAUCAAUAAUAGCCCCUAUAGUAUUAAAAAAGGGUCUACCAAGGAUAAUCGACAUACUGUCGUCCUUGGAAAUAUUAAGAAUAACAAAGUCCAUUAAAAUAGUAACGUUUGCAACCACAACAUGCAUAUCCUCACAAAUACCAACGGGUAUAGCGGUUGAUUUAUCGGCCAUUUGCAAAGAGAUUUCAGUAGGUGUCAACUUAUUCAAAUCAAGUCUACGAUAUAAGGAGAGAGGCAUAACAUUGACACCGGCUCCAAGAACACAUAAAGUAGUUUUAACAUAGUUUCUUUUAAAGGAGCAUGGUAUAGUUGGUACUCCUGGAUCUCCAAGUUUCUUUAGUAUUCCACCCUUAAAAGUAUAAUUAGCAAGCAUGGUGGGAAUUUCAGCUUCUGGUAUCUUCCUUUUAUUUGUAACAAUAUCUUUCAUAUACUUAGCAUAAGGAUUCAUUUUAAGCAUGUCUGUCAAAUGCAUACGCAAAAAGAUAGGUCUAAUCAUUUCAGCAAAGCACUCAAAAUCCUCAUCAUCCUUUUUUCUUGGAUGGCUUAGGAGGAAAAGGCAUGGGUUUCUGAACCCAUGGUUCUCUUUCUUUACCAUGCUUCCUAGCAAAGAAGUCUCUCUUAUCAUAUCGUUGAUUCUUUGAUUGUGGGUUAUCAAGAUCAACAUCAGGUUCAAUCUCUACAUCAUUGUUAUUGCUAGGUUGAGCAUCAACAUGAACAUCAUCAUUAACAUUAUCACUAGGUUCAUGUUCAUUACCAAAUUGUGUUUCAGCAUCAGAAAUAGAAAUAUCAUUGGGAUUCUCAGGUGUAUCUAUAACAGGUUCACUAGAAGCAUGCAAAGUCCUAUCAAUUUUCCUUUUCUUUUCUUAGAAUGGCUAGGUGCAUCAACUUAGUUCUCUGAGAAUCUUGCUCAACUCUCUUAGGAUGGCCCUCAGUAUACAAAGGUUCCUGGGUCAUUUUACCACCUCUAGUCAUAACUCUAACAUCAUUAUCAUUGUUCUUAUUAUUUAAUUCAUUUAGCAAAUCGUCUUGUUCUUUAAGUACUUGUUAACUUGAGUGGUAACCAUGGAUGCAUGUUAACUAAUAAGCUUAAGGUCACCUUUAACUCUAAACAUAUAAUCACUCAAGUGUUCAACCAUAUAAGCAUUACGUUUCAAUUGUCUACCAACAUAAGCAUUGAAGUUUUCUUGUUUAACAAUAAAAUUAUCAAAUUCAUCCAGGCAUUCACUAGCAGACUUAUUACGAGGAAUAUCACCUUUUCAUCAAAUCUAUAGAGAUAAUUUGCCUUUACUACCUGUGUCGGGUUAUUAAGACCAUGUAUUUCUUCAAUAGGUGGCAAAUUCUUAACAUCUUCAACUUUAAUACCUUUUUCUUUCAUAGAUUUCUUUACCUCUUGCAUAUAUUUAGGACUGAGAAAUAGUAUACCCCUUUUCUUCGGAGUUGGCUUAGGACUUUGUUCAGGAAGUGUCCAAUUAUUAUCAUUACUCAAUAUAUUAUUCAAUAGUAAUUCAGCUUGCUCAAUCUCUGGGCCCUCUCGGUAAUACACAUUACUUAAGCCUUGCAAGCAUUGCAACUAAUGAGUUAGUUGCGGGAUGAUAUAUUACAGAACGAGUAAAGAGACUUGCCGGUAACGAGAUUGAACUAGGUAUUAAGAUACCGACGAUCGAAUCUCGGGCAAGUAACAUACCGAUGACAAAGGGAACAACGUAUGUUGUUAUGCGGUCUGACCGAUAAAGAUCUUCGUAGAAUAUGUGGGAACCAAUAUGAGCAUCCAGGUUCAGCUAUUGGUUAUUGACCGGAGACGUGUCUCAGUCGUGUCUACAUUGUUCUCAAUCCGUAGGGUCCGCACGAUUAAGGUUUCGAUGACAGUUAUAUUAUGAGUUUAUGAGUUUUGAAUGACCGAAGGAGUUCAGAGUCCCGGAUGAGAUCGGGGACAUGACGAGGAGUCUCGUAAUGGUCGAGACGUAAAGAUCGAUAUAUUGGACGACUAUAUUCGGAGUUCGGAAAGGUUCCGAGUGUUUCGGGUAUUUUUCGGAGUACCGGAGAGUUAUGGGAAUUCGCCGGGGAGUAUAUGGGCGUUAUUGGGCCAUACGGGAAUAGAGUAGAGAGGCCAAAAGGAAGGAGGCCUGCGCCCCCUCUGGUCCAAAUUGGACAAGGGGCGCAGCCCCCUUUUCCUUCUUCCUCUCCCCCUCUUUCCCCUUCUCCUACUCCAACAAGGAAGAAGGGAGUCCUACUCCCGGUGGGAGUAGGACUCCCCUUGGCGCGCCCCCUCCUAGGCCGGCCGCCCCCUCCCCCUUGCUCCUUUAUAUACGGGGGCAGGGGGCACCUCUAGACACAACAACAAUUGAUCCUUGAGAUCUCUUAACCGUGUGCGGUGCCCCCUCCACCAUAGUCCUCGAUAAUAAUGUAGUGGUGCUUAGGCGAAGCCCUGCGACAGUAGAACAUCAAGAUCGUCACCACGCCAUCGUGCUGAUGGAACUCUUCCCCGACACUUUGCUGGAUCGGAGUGCGGGGAUCGUCAUCGAGCUGAACGUGUGCUAGAACUCGGAGGUGCCGUAGUUUCGGAGCUUGAUCGGUUGGGCCGUGAAGACGUACGACUACAUCAACCGCUUUGUUAUAACACUUCCGCUUUAGGUCUACGAGGGUACGUGAACAUACUCUCCCCUCUCGUUGCUAUGCAUCACCAUGAUCUUGCGUGUGCGUAGGAAUUUUUUUGAAAUUACUACGUUCCCCAACAUUGGCAUCCGAGCCAGGUUUUAUGCGUAGAUGUCAUAUGCACGAGUAGAUCACAAGUGAGUUGUGGGCGAUAUAAGUCAUACUACUUACCAACAUGUCAUACUUUGGUUCAGCGGUAUUGUUGGUGAAGCGGCCCGGACCGACAUUACGCGUACGCUUACACGAGACUGGUUCUACCGACGUGCUUUGCACACAGGUGGCUGGCGGGUGUCAGUUUAUCCAACUUUAGUUGAACCGAGUGUGGCUACGCCCGGUCCUUGCGAAGGUUAAAACAGCACCAACUUGACAAACUAUCGUCGUGGUUUUGAUGCGUAGGUAAGAACAGUUCUUGCUAAGCCCGUAGCAGCCACGUAAAACUUGCAACAACAAAGUAGAGGACGUCUAACUUGUUUUUGCAGGGCAUGUUGUGAUGUGAUAUGGUCAAGACAUGAUGAUAAAUUUUAUUGUAUGAGAUGAUCAUGUUUUGUAACAGAGUUAUCGGAAACUGGCAAGAGCCAUAUGGUUGUCGCUUUAUUGUAUGCAAUGCAAUCGCCCUGUAAUGCUUUACUUUAUCACUAAGCGGUAGCGAUAGUCAUAGAAGCAUAAUAUUGGCGAGACGACAACGAUGCUACGAUGGAGAUCAAGGUGUCGCGCCGGUGACGAUGGUGAUCAUGACGGUGCUUCGAAGAUGGAGAUCACAAGCACAAGAUGAUGAUGGCCAUAUCAUAUCACUUAUAUUGAUUGCAUGUGAUGUUUAUCUUUUAUGCAUCUUAUCUUGCUUUGAUUAACGGUAGCAUUAUAAGAUGAUCCCUCACUAAAUUAUCAUAGUAAAAGUGUUCUCCCUGAGUAUGCAUCGUUGCGAAAGUUCUUCGUGCUGAGACACCACGUGAUGAUCGGGUGUGAUAAGCUCUAUGUUCAAAUACAACGGGUGCAAAACAGUUGCACACGCGGAAUACUCAGGUGAAACUUGACGAGCCUAGCAUAUAACAGAUAUGGCCUGGAACACAGAGACCGAAAGGUCGAGCGUGAAUCAUAUAGUAGAUAUGAUCAACAUAUUGAUGUUCACCGUUGAAACUACUCCAUCUCACGUGAUGAUCGGACAUGGUGUAGUUGAUAUGGAUCACGUAAUCACAUAGAGGAUUAGAGGGAUUUCUAUCUAAGUGGGAGUUCUUAAGUAAUAUGAUUAAAUGAACUUAAAUUUAUCAUGAACUUAGUCCUGGUAGUAUUUUGCAAAUUGUGUUGUAGAUCAAUAGCUUGCGUUGUUGCUUUCAUAUGUUUAUUUUGAUAUGUUCCUAGAGAAAAUUGUGUUGAAAGAUGUUAGUAGCAAUGAUGCGGAUUGGAUCCGUGGUCUGAGGUUUAUCCUCAUUGUUGCAUAGAAGAAUUAUGUCCUUAAUGCACCACUAGGUGACAGACCUAUUGCAGGAGCAGAUGCAGACGUUAUGAACAUUUGGGUAGAUCAAUAUGAUGACUACUUGAUAGUUUAGUGCACCAUGCUUAACGUCUUAGAACUGGGACUUUACAGAUGUUUUGAACGUCAUGGACCAUAUGAGAUGUUCUAGGAGUUGAAGUUAAUAUUUCAAGCAAAUACCCAAGUUGAGAGAUAUGAAGUCUCCAACAAGUUCUAUGGCUAAAAGAUGGAGGAGAAUCACUCAACUAGUGAGCAUGUGCUAAGAUUGUCUGGGUACUACAAUCACUUGAAUCAAGUGGGAGUUAAUCUUCAAAUUAAGAUAGUGAUUGACAGAAUUCUCUAGUCACCAUCACCAAGUUAGUAGAACUUUGUGAUGAACUAUAGUAUGCAAGGGAUGACGUAAACGAUUCCCAAGCUCUUUGUGAUGUUGAAAUCGACGAAGGUAGAAAUCAAGAAAGAGCAUCAAGUGUUGAUGAUUGACAAGACCACUAGUUUAAAGAAAAGGGCAAAGGGAAAGAAAGGGACCUUCAAGCAGAAUGGCAAGCAAGUUGUCAUUCCCACGAAGAAGCCCAAAGCUGGACCAAAGCCUGAAACUGAGUGAUUAUACUACAAAGGAAAUGGUCACUAGAAGCAGAAAUGCCUUGAAUAUUUGGUGGAUAAGAAGGAUGGCAAAGUGAACAAGGGUAUAUUUGAUAUACAUGUUAUUGAUGUGUACUUUACUAGUGUUUAUAGUAGCCCCUGAGUAUUUGAUACUUGUUCAGUUGCUAUGAUUAGUAACUCGAAACAGGAGUUAUAGAAUAAACAAAGACUAGUUGAGGGUGAAGUGACGAUGUGUGUUGGAAGUAGUUCCAAGAUUGAUAUGAUCAUCAUCACACUCUCCCUACACUUCUGAGAUUAGUGUUGAACAUAAAUAAAUGUUAUUUGGCGUCUGCGUUGAGCAUGAAUAUUAUUUGAUCAUGUUUAUUGCAAUACGGUUAUUCAUUUAAAGUCAGAGAAUAAUUGUUGUUCUGUUUACAUGAAUAAAACCUUCAAUGGUCAUACACCCAAUGAAAAUAGUUUGUUGGAUCUCGAUCGUAGUAAUACACAUAUUCAUAAUAUUGAUGCCAAAAGAUGCAAAGUUAAUAAUGAUAGUGCAACUUAUUUGUGGCACUGCCGUUUGGGUCAUAUCGGUGUAAAGCGCAUGAAGAAACUCCAUAAAAAUGGAUUUUCGGAAUCAUUUGGUUAUGAAUCAUUUGAUGCUUGCGAACCAUGCCUUUUGGGCAAGAUGACUAAAACUCCGUUCUCCAGAACAAUGGAUCGAGCUACUGACUUGUUGGAAAUAAUACAUACUGAUGUAUGCAGACCUGUGAGUAUUAAGGCUCGUGGCAAGUAUCAUUAUUUUCUGACCUUCACAGAUGAUUUGAGCAGAUAUAGGUAUAUCUACGUGAUGAAACAUAAGUCUGAAAUAGUUGAAAGGUUCAAAGAUUUUUAGAGUGAAGUGGAAAAUCAUCGUAACAAGAAAAUAAAGUUUCUGCGAUCUGAUCGUGGAGAUGAAUAUUUGUGUUAUGAGUUUGGUCUUCAACUAAAACAAAGCGGAAUAGUUUCGUAACUCACGCCACCCGGAACACCACAGCGUAAUGGUGUGUCCGAACGUCGUAACCGCACUUUAUUAGAUAUUGUGCAAUCUAUGAAGUAUCUUACCGAUUUACCACUAUCGUUUUGGGGUUAUGCAUUAGAGACAGUUGCAUUCACUUUAAAUAGGGCACCAUCAAAAUCCGUUGAGACGACGCCUUAUGAACUGUGGUUUGGCAAGAAACCAAAGUUGUCGUUUCUUAAAGUUUGGGACUGCGAUGCUUAUGUGAAAAAGUUUCAACCUGAUAAGCUCGAACCUAAAUCGGAGAAGUGCGUCUUCAUAGAAUACCCAAAGGAAACUGUUGGGUACACCUUCUAUCACAGAUCCAAAGGCAAGAUAUUCGUUGCUAAAAUGGAUCCUUUCCAGAGAAGGAUUUUCUCUCGAAAGAAGUGAGUGGGAGGAAAGUAGAACUUGAUGAGGUAACUAUACCUGCUCCCUUAUUAGAAAGUAGUUCAUCACAGAAAUCGGUUACUGUGACAUCUACACCAAUUAGUGAGGAAGUUAAUGAUGAUGAUCAUGAAACUUCAGAUCAAGUUGUUACUGAACCUCGUAGGUCAAACAGAAUAAGAUCCGCACCAGAGUGGUACGAUAAUCCCGUUCUAGAAGUCAUGUUACUAGACCAUGAUGAAUCUACGAACUAUGAGGAAGCGAUGAUGAGCCUAGAUUCCGCGAAAUGGCUUGAGGCCAUAAAAUCUGAGAUAUGAUCCAUGUAUGAAAACAAAGUAUGGACUUUGAUUGACUUGCUCGAUGAUCAGCAAGCCAUGUUAAAUAAAUGGAUCUUCAAGAGGAAGACGGACACUGAUAGUAGUGUCACUAUCUACAAAGCUCGACUUGUUGCGAAAGGUUUUCGACAAGUUCAAGGUGUGUUGAAUGUGAUGAGAUUUUCUCACUCGAAACGAUGCUUAAGUCUGUCCGAAUCAUGUUAGCAAAUUGCCACAUUUUAUGAAAUCUAGCAAAUGGAUAUCAAAACUGUGUUCCUGAAUGGAUUUCUAGAAGAAAAGUUGUAUAUGAUGCAACCAGAAGGUUUUGUCGAUCCGAAAGGUGCUAACAAAAUGUGCAAGCUCCAGCGAUCCAUCAAUGGACUGGUGCAAGCAUCUCGAAGUUGGAAUAUACGCUUUGAUAAGUUAAUCAAAGCAUAAGAUUUUUAUAAAGACUUUUGGAAAUGCCUGUAUUUACAAGAAAGUGAGUGGGAGCACUACAACCUUUCUGAUAAGUAUAUGUGAAUGACAUAUUGUUGAUCGGAAAUGAUGUAGAAUUUUUCUGGAAAGCAUAAAGAAGUAUUUGAAAGAAGUUUUUUCAAAGAAAGACCUCGGUGAAGCUGCUUACACAUUGAGCAUCAAGAUCUAUAGAGAUAGAUCAAGACGCUUGAUAAGAUUUUUCAAUGAGUACAUACCUUGACAAGAUUUUGAAGAAGUUCAAAAUGGAACGGUCGAAAGAAGUCUUGCCUGUGAUGCAAAGGUGUGAAGUUGAGUAAGACUCAAAACCCGACCAUGGCAGAAAAUAGAAAGAGAAUGAAACGUCAUUCCCUAUGCCUUAGUCAUAGGUUCUAUAAAGUAUGCUAUGUUGUGUACCACACCUAUUGUAUACCUUGCUCUGAGUUUGGCAAAGGAAUACAAUUUUGAUCUAAGAGUAUAUCACUGGACAGCGGUCAAGAAUAUCCUUAGUAAGGACUAAGGAGAUGUUUCUCGAUUAUGGAGGUGAUAAAAGAGUUCGUCGUAAAGAGUUACAUCGAUGCAAGCUUUUACACCGAUCCAUAUGAAUCUAAGUAUCAAUCUGGAUACAUAUUAAAAGUGGGAGCAAUUAGCUACAUUAGAUCUGUGCAGAGCAUUGUACACAUAGAAUAUUUGGAAAAUACAUGCGGCUCUGAAUGUAACAGACCCAUUGACUAAACUUCUCUCAUGAGAAAAACAUGAUCAUACCUUAGUACUCUUUGAGUGUUAAUCACAUAGCGAUGUGAACUAGAUUAUUGAAUCUAGUAAACCCUUUGGGUGUUGAUCACAUAACGAUGUGAACUAUGGGUAUUAAUCACAUACAGAUGUGAAUAUUAGUGUUAAAUCACAUGGCGAUGUGAACUAGAUUAUUGACUCUAGUGCAAGUGGGAGACUGAAGGAAAUAUGCCCUAGAGGCAAUAAUAAAGUUAUUAUUUAAUUCCUUAUUUAAUGAUAAAUGUUUAUUAUUCAUGCUAGAAUUGUAUUAACCGGAAACAUAAUACAUGUGUGAAUACAUAGACAAACAAAGUGUCACUAGUGUGCCUCUACUUGACUAGCUUGUUGAUCAAAGCUUGUUAUGUUUCCUGACCAUAGACAUGUGUUGUCAUUUGAUUAACGGGAUCACAUCAUUAGGAGAAUGAUGUGAUUGACAUGACCCAUUCCGUUAGCUUAGCACACAAUCGUUUAGUAUGUUGCUAUUGCUUUCUUCAUGACUUAUAGAUGUUCCUAUGACUAUGAGAUUAUGCAACUCCCGUUUACCAGAGAAACACUUUGUGUGCUACCAAACGUCACAACGUAACUGGGUGAUUAUAAAGGUGCUCUACAGGUGUCUCCGAAGGUACAUGUUGGGUUGGCAUAUUUCGAGAUUAGGAUUUGUCACUCCGAUUGUCGGAGACGUAUCUCUGGGCCCUCUCGGUAAUACACAUCACUUAAGCCUUGCAAGCAUUGCAACUAAUGAGUUAGUUGCGGGAUGAUGUAUUACGAAACGAGUAAAGAGACUUGCCGAUAACAAGAUUGAACUAGGUAUUGAGAUACCGACGAUCGAAUAUCGGGCAAGUAACAUACCGAUGACAAAGGGAACAAUGUAUGUUGUUAUGCGGUCUGACCGAUAAAGAUCUUUGUAAAAUAUGUGGGAACCAAUAUGAGCAUCCAGGUUCUGCUAUUGGUUAUUGACCGAAGACGUGUCUCGGUCAUGUUUACAUUGUUCUCGAACCCGUAGGGUCCGCACACUUAAGGUUUCGAUGACAGUUAUAUUAUGAGUUUAUGAGUUUUGAUGUACCGAAGGAGUUCGGAGUCCCGGAUGAGAUCGGGGAAAUGACGAUGAGUCUCGAAAUGGUCGAGACGUAAAUAUCUAUAUAUUGGACGACUAUAUUCGGAGUUCUGAAAGGUUCCGAGUGUUUCGGGUAUUUUUCGGAGUACAGGAGAGUUACGGGAAUUCGCCGGGGAGUAUAUGGGCCUUAUUGGGCCAUACGGGAAUAGAGGAGAGAGGCCAAAAGGAAGGAGGCCUGCGCCCCACCUCUGGUCCGAAUUGGACAAGGGGCGCAACCCCUUUUUCCUUCUUCCUCUCCCCCUCUUUCCCCUUCUCCUACUCCAACAAGGAAGGAGGGAGUCCUACUCCCCGUGGGAGUAGGACUCCCCUUGGCGCACCCCCUCCUAGGACGGCCGCCACCUACCCCUUGCUCCUCUAUAUACGGGGGCAGGGGGGCACCUCUAGACACAACAACACUUGAUCCUUGAGAUCUCUUAGCCGUGUGCGGUGCCCCCCUCCACCAUAGUCCUCGAUAAUAUUAUAGCGGUUCUUAGACGAAGCCCUGCGACAGUAGAACAUCAAGAUUGUCACCACGCCGUCGUGCUGACGGUACUCUUCCCCGACACUUUGCUGGAUCGGAGUCCGGGGAUCGUCAUCGAGCUGAAUGUGUUCUAGAACUCGGAGGUGCCGUAGUUUCGGUGCUUGAUCGGACGGGCCGUGAAGAUGUACGACUACAUCAACCGCGUUGUUAUAACGCUUCCGCUUUCGGUCUACGAGGGUACGUGGACAUACUCCCCCCUCUCGUUGCUAUGCAUCACCAUGAUCUUGCGUGUGCGUAGGAAAUUUUUUGAAAUUACUACGUUCCCCAACAAUAGUUUCAUCAUAAGCAUCAUGCAUUGCACAAGUGGCAUCAUCAAUAACGUGCGACAUAUUAGAAUCAAUAGGAGGUGCAGGUGUCGCAAAUUUACUCAUAAUAGAAGGUGAAUCAAGUGCAUAGCUAGAUGGGAGUUCCUUACCUACCCUCGUAGUUGAGGGGAAAAUCUUGGUUCUUUCAUCUUUCAAGUUCCUCAUAGUGAUCAGCAGAUAUAAAUCCCAAGUGACUCAAAGAAUAGAGCUAUGCUCCCGGGCAACGGAGCCAGGAAAGAGUCUUGAUAACCCACAAGUAUAGGCGAUUGCAACAAUUUUUGAUGGUAGAGUAUUCAACCCAAAUUUAUUGAUUCGACACAAGGGGAGCCAAAGAAUAUUCUCAAGUAUUAGCAACUGAGUUGUCAAUUCAACCACACCUGAAAGACUUAAUAUCUGCAGCAAAGUAUUUAGUAGCAAAGUAGUAGGAAGUAACGGCAACGGUGGCAAAAGUAACAUUAACGGUUUUGUAGCAAUCCUAACAGUGGCAAUGGAGAAGUAACUUAGCAAAAAUCAAUAUGUGAAAAUCUCAUAGGCAAUGGAUCAAUGAUGGAUAAUUAUGUUAGAUGCAAUUCAUAAUGCAACAUUUAUAACAUAGGGUGACACAGAACUAGCUCCAGUUCAUCAAUAUAAUGUAGGCAUGUAUUCCGAAAUAGUCAUAUGUGCUUAUGGAAAAGAACUUGCAUGACAUCUUUUGUCCUACCCUCCCGUGGCAGCGGGGUCGUAUUGGAAACUAAGGGAUAUUAAGGCCUACUUUUAAUAGAGUACCCGACCAAAGCAUUAACACUUAGUUAAUACAUGAACUCCUCAAACUACGGUCAUCACUGGGAGUGGUCCCGAUUAUUGUCACUUCGGGGUUGCCGGAUCAUAACACAUACUAGGUGACUAUUGACUUGCAAGAUAGGAUCAAGAACUCACAUAUAUUCAAGAAAACAUAAUGAGUUUAGAUCUGAAAUCAUGGCACUCGGGCCCUAGUGACAAGCAUUAAGCAUGGCAAAGUCAUAGCAACAUCAAUAUUAGAACAUAAUUGAUACUAGGGAUCAAACCCUAUAAAAACUAACUCGAUUACAUGGUAAAUCUCAUCCAUCCCAUCACCGUCCAGCAAGCCUACGAUGGGAUUACUGACGCACGGCGGUGAGCAUCAUGAAAUUGGUGAUGGAGGAUGGUGUUGGGGAACAUAGUAAUUUUAAAAAAUAUCCUACGCACAGGUGUAAAAGAUUGAGUGGGAUGGUUAUAGUAAGGGGCGAACCAAGCGCUUGCGCGAAGAAGUGAAUCAAUCAGAAUGGAGACAAGGAAAGGAAUCGAGGCCCAGCCGCAAGAUCAUGGUGAUGCAUUGCAAUGACAGGGGGAGUGUAUCUUCAUACCCUUGAAGAUUGCUAAGCGGAAGCGUUUAUCAACGCGGUUGAUGUAGUCGUACGUCUUCAUGAUCCGACCGAUCCAAGUACCGAAUGCACGGCACUUCCGAGUUCUACACACGUUGAGCUCGAUGACGUCCUCGCCUUCUCGAUCCAGCAAGAUGGGCGAAGUAGUAGAUGAGUUCCGGCAGCACGACGGCGUGGUGACGGUGUUGGUGAAGAAAAAUCUCCGCAGGGCUUCGCCUAAGCACUACGGAAACUAUGAUGGAGGAUAAACUAGAGGGGACGGGGUUGCCGGCACACGGCUUGGUGUUUUUUGAUGUGUCUUGGGUGCUAGCCCUACACCUCUAUUUAUAUGUUGAGCCUUGGUGUCGAAACUUGGAGUAAAAGCCUCCUCAAAGUCGGUUUUGUCCGAAAGGCAAGAGUCCUUCUCGGACUCCAGGGCCAGACGCCAGGGUUCCUGGCAUCUGGACCCAGAUGCCAGGGACCCUGGCGUCUGGCCCCUGGACUCCGCAAAACUUCCUUUUGCGCAUUCCAAAAACCUUGUGGGCUUUCCCCUUUGGCCCAAAUAACGUGUUCUUGUAACCAAACAUUUCGGGAAACAUCCGGAACCCCUUACGGUGGAUUCCGGAACCUUUCCGGAGAUUAAACACUACUAUCCACAUAUCAAUCUUUACUUCCGGACCAUUUCGGAGUUCCCCGUCAUAUCCGUGAUCUCAUCCAAAAACUCCGAACAACAUUCGGUCGCCAACAUACAUAACUCAUAGUACUAUAUCGUCAACGAACGUUAAGCGUGCGGACCCUAUGGGUUCGAGAACUAUUUAGACAUGACCGAGACACGCCUCUGGUCAAUAACCAAUAGCGGGACCUGGAUGCCCAUCUUGGCUCCCACAUAUUCUACAAAGAUCUUUAUCGGUCAAACCGCAUAACAACAUACGUUGUUCCCUUUGCCAUCGGUAUGUUACUUGCCCGAGAUUCGAUCGUCGUUAUCUCAAUACCUAGUUCAAUCUCGUUACCGGCAAGUCUCUUUACUCGUUCCGUAAUACAUCAUCUCGCAACUAAAUCAUUAGUUGCAAUGCUUGCAAGGAUUAAGUGAUGUGCAUUACCUAGAGGGCCCAGAGAUACCUCUCCGACAAUCGGAGUGACAAAUCCUAAUCUCGAAAUACGCCAACCCAACAAGUACCUUUGGAGACACCUGUAGAGCACCUUUAUAAUCACCCAGUUACGAUGUGAUGUUUGGUAGCACACAAAGUGUUCCUUCGGUAAACGGGAGUUGCAUAAUCUCAUAUUCAUAGGAACAUGUAUAAGUCAUAAAGAAAGCAAUAGCAACAUACUAAACGAUCAAUUGCUAAGCUAACAGAAUGGGUCAAGUCAAUCACAUCACUCUCCUAAUGAUGUGAUCCCGUUAAUCAAAUGACAACUCAUGUCUAUGGCUAGGAAAUUUAACCAUCUUUGAUCAACGAGCUAGUCAAGUAGAGGCAUACUAGUGACACUCUGUUUGUCUAUGUAUCCACACAUGUACUAAGUUUCCGGUUAAUGCAAUUCUAGCAUGAAUAAUAAACAUUUAUUUUGAUAUAAGGCAAUAAAUAAUAACUUUAUUAUUGCCUCUAGGGCAUAUUUCCUUAAGUCUCCCACUUGCACUAGAGUCAAUAAUCUAGAUCACAUCGCCAUGUGAUUUAACAUCAAUAGUUCACAUCACCAUGUGAUUAACACCCAUAGUUCACAUCGUCAUGUAACCAACACCCAAAUGGUUUACUAGAGUCAAUAAUCUAGUUCACACCGCUAUGUUAUUAACACCCAAAGAGUACUAAGGUAUGAUCAGGUUUUGCUUGUGAGAGAAGUUUAGUCAACGGGUCUGUCAUAUUGAGAGCCGUAUGUAUUUUGCAAGUAUUCUAUGUCUACAAUGCUCUGCACGGAGCUACUCUAGCUAAUUGCUCCCAUUUUCAAUAUGUAUCCAGAUUGAGACUUAGAGUCAUCUGGAUCAGUGUAAAAGUUUGCACCGAUGUAACUUUUACAACGAAAUCUUUUAUCACCUCCAUAAUCGAGAAACAUCUCCUUAGUCCUCACUAAGGAUAUUCUUGACCGCUUUCCAGUGAUCUACUAUUAGAUCAAAAUUGUAUUCCUUUGUCAAACUCAGAGCAAGUUAUACAAUAGGUCUGGUUCAGAGCAUAGCAUACUUUAUAGAACCUAUGACUGAGGCAUAGGGAAUGACUUUUCAUUCUCUUUCUAUUUUCUGCCAUGGUUGGGUAGUCUUACUCAACUUCACACCUUGCAACACAGGCAAGAACUCCUUCUUUGACUGUUCCAUUUUGAACUAUUUCAAAAAAAUUAUCAAUGUAUGUACUAAUUGAAAAAUCUUAUCAAGCAUCUUGAUCUAUCUAUAUAGAUCUUGAUGCUCAAUGUGUAAGCAGCUUCACCGAGGUCUUGCUUUGAAAAACUCUUAUUCAAAUAUCCUUUCAUGCUAUCUAGAAUUUCUAUAUCAUUUCCAAUCAACAAUAUGUCAUCCACAUAUAAUAUUAGAAAUGCUACAGAGCUCCCACUCACUUUCUUGUAAAUACAGGCUUCUCAAAAAGUCUGUAUAAAACCAUAUGCUUUGAUCAACUCAUCAAAGCGUAUAUUCCAACUUCGAGAGGCUUGCACCAGUCCAUAAAUGGAUCGCUGGAGCUUACACACUUUGUUAGCACCUUUAGGAUUGACAAAACCUUUUGGUUGCAUCAUAUACAACUCUUCUUUAAUAAAUUCAUUAAGGAGUGCAAUUUUGACAUCCUUUUGCCAGAUUUCAUAAAAUGUGGCAAUUGCUAACAUGAUUCAGACAGACUUAAGCAUCGAUAUGAGUGAGAAAAUCUCAUCGUAUUCAACACCCUGAACUUGUCGAAAAACCUUUUAUGCGACAAGUCGAGCUUUGUAGAUAGUAACACUACUAUCAGCGUCCGUCUUCCUCUUGAAGAUCCAUUUAUUUACUAUGGCUUGCCGAUCAUCGGGCAAGACAACCAAAGUCCACACUUUGUUCUCAUACAUGGAUCCCAUCUCAGAUUUCAUGGCCUCAAGCCAUUUCAUGGAAUCUGGGCUCAUCAUCGCUUCCUCAUAGUUCGUAGGUUCAUCAUGGUCUAGUUACAUGACUUCCAGAAUAGGAUUACCAUACUACUCUGGUACGGAUCUUAUUCUGGGAGACCUACGAGGUUCUGUAGUAACUUGAUCUGAAGUUUCAUAAUCAUCAUCAUUAGCUUCCUCACUAAUUGGUGUAGGAAUGACUGAAACUGAUUUCUGUGAUGAACUACUUUCCAAUAAGGGAGAAGGUACAAUUGCCUCAUCAAGUUCUACUUUCCUCCCACUCACUUCUUUCGAGAGAAACUCCUUCUCUAGAAAGGAUCCAUCUUAGCAACGAAUAUCUUGCUUUCGGAUCUGUGAUAGAAGGUGUACCCAACAGUUUCCUUUGGGUAUUCUAUGAAGACGCACUUCUCCGAUUUGGGUCGAGCUUAUCAGGUUGAAACUUUUGCACAUAAGCAUCGCAGACCCAAACUUUAAGAAACGACAACUUUGGUUUCUUGCCAAACCACAGUUCAGAAGCCGUCGUCUCAACGGAUUUUGAUGGUGCCCUAUUUAAAGUGAACGCAACUAUCUCUAAUGCAUAACCUCAAAACGGUAGUGGUAAAUCGGUAAGAUACAUCAUAGAUCGCACCAUAUCCAAUAAAGUGCGGUUAUGACGUUCGGACACACCAUUACGCUGUGGUGUUCCAUGUGGCGUGAGCUGUGAAACUAUUCCACAUUGUUUAAAAUGAAGGCCAAACUCGUAGCUCAAAUAUUCAUCUCUAUGAUCAGAUCAUAGAAACUUUAUUUUCUUGUUACGAUGAUUUUUCCACUUCACUCUGAAAUUCUUUGAACUUUUCAACUAUUUCAGACUUAUGUUUCAUCAAGUAGAUAUACGCAUAUCUGCUCAAAUCAUCUGUGAAGGUCAGAAAAUAAUGAUACUUGCCACAAGCAUCAACACUCAUUGGAUCGCAUACAUCGGUAUGUACUAUUUCCAACAAGUCAGUAGCUCGUUCCAUUGUUCCGGAGAAUGGAGUUUUAGUCAUCUUGCCCAAAAGGCACGGUUCACAAGCAUCAAAUGAUUAAUAACCAAGUGAUUCCAAAAGUCCAUCUUUAUGGAGUUUCUUCAUGCGCUUUACACCGAUAUGACCCAAACGGCAGUGCCACAAAUAAGUUACACUAUCAUUGUCAACUUUGCAUCUUUUGGCAUCAAUAUUAUGAAUAUGUGUAUUACUACGAUCAAGAUCCAACAAACUAUUUUCAUUGGGUGUAUGACCAUCGAAGUUUUUAUUUAUGUAAAUAGAACAACAAUUAUUCCUUGACUUUAAGUGAAUAACCGUAUCGCAAUAAACAUGAUCAAAUCAUAUUCAUGCUCAACGCAAAUGCCAAAUAACAUUUAUUUGGGUUUUACACUAAUCCCGAAAGUAUAGGGAGUGUGCGAUCAUGAUCAUAUCAAUCUUGGAACCAUUUCCAAUACACAUCAUCACUUCACCCUCAACUAGUCUCUGUUUAUUCUGUAACUCCUGUUUCGAGUCACUAAUUUUUAGCAACCGAACAAGUAUCGAAUACUCAGGGUCUACUAUAAACACUAGUAAGGUACACAUCAAUAACCUGUAUAUCAAAUAUACCCUUGUUCACUAUGCCAUCCUUCUUAUCCACCAAAUAUUCAGGGUAUUUUCGUUUCAAGUGACCAUUUCCUUUGUAGUGUAAGCACUCAGUUUCAGGCUUUGGUUCAGCUUUGGGCUUCUUCAUGGGAGUGACAACUUGCUUGUCAUUCUACUUGAAGUUCCCUUUCUUUUCCUUUGCCAUUUUCUUGAAACUAGUGAUCUUGUCAACCAUCAACACUUGAUGCUCUUUCUUGAUUUCUACCUUCGUUGAUUUCAACAUCACGAAGAGCUCGGGAAUCAUUUUCGUCAUCCCUUGCAUACUAUAGUUCAUCACAAAGUUCUACUAACUUGGUGAUGGUGACUAGAGAACUCUGUCAAUCACUAUCUUAUCUGGAAGAUCAACUCCCACUUGAUUCAAGCGAUUGUAGUACCCAGACAAUCUGAGCACAUGCUCACUAGUUGAGCGAUUCUCCUCCAUCUUUUAGCCAUAGAACUUUUUGGAGACUUCAUAUCUCUCAACUCGGGUAUUUGCUUGAAAUAUUAACUUCAACUCCUGGAACAUCUCAUAUGGUCCAUGCCGUUCAAAACGUCUUUGAAGUCCUGAUUCUAAGCCAUUAAGUAUGGUUCACUAGACUAUCAAGUAGUCAUCAUAUUGAGCUAGCCAGAUGUUCAUAACGUCUGCAUCUGCUCCUCAAUAGGUCUGUCACCUAGCGGUGCAUUACGGACAUAAUUUGUCUGUGUAGCAAUGAGGAUAAACCUUAGAUCAUGGAUCCAAUACGCAUCAUUGCUACUAACAUCUUUCAACACAAUUUUCUCUAGGAACAUAUCAAAAUAAACAUAUGAAAGCAACAACGCAAGCUAUUGAUCUACAACAUAAUUUGCAAAAUACUACCAGGACUAAGUUCAUGAUAAAUCUAAGUUCAAUUAAUCAUAUUACUUAAGAACACCCACUUAGAUAGACAUCCCUAUAAUCCUCUAAGUGAUCACGUGAUCCAAAUCAACUAAACCAUGUCCGAUCAUCACGUGAGAUGGAGUAGUUUCAAUGAUGAACAUCACUAUGUUGAUCAUAUCUACUAUAUGAUUCACGCUCGACCUUUCGGUCUCCGUGUUCUGAGGCCAUAUAUGUAUAUGCUAGGCUCGUCAAGUUUAACCUGAGUAUUCCGUGUGUGCAACUGUUUUGCACCCGUUGUAUUUGAACGUAGAGCCUAUCACACCUGAUCAUCACGUGGUGUCUCAGCACGAAGAACUUUCGCAACGGUGCAUACUCAGGGAGAACACUUCUUGAUAAUUAGUGAGAGAUCAUCUUAAAAUGCUACCGUCAAUCAAAGCAAGAUAAGAUGCAUAAAGGAUAAACAUCACAUGCAAUCAAUAUAAGUGAUAUGAUAUGGCCAUCAUCAUCUUGUGUUUGAGAUCUCCAUCUCCGAAGCACCGUCGUGAUCACCAUCGUCACCGGCGCGACACCUUGAUCUCCACCGUAUCAUCGUUGUCGUUUACGCCAUCUAUUGCUUCUACGACUAUCGCUACCGCUUAGUGAUAAAGUAAAGCACUUACAGGGCGCUUGCAUUUCAUACAAUAAAGCAACAACCAUAUGGGUCCUGCCAGUUGCCGAUAACUCGGUUACUAAACAUGAUAAUCUCAUACAAUAAAAUAUAGCAUCACGUCUUGACCAUAUCACAUCACAACAUGCCUUGCAAAAACAAGUUAGACUUCCUCUACUUUGGUGUUGCAAAUUUUACGUGGCUGCUACAGGCUGAGCAAGAACCGUUCUUACCUACGCAUCAAAAUCACAACGAUAGUUCGUCAAGUUAGUGAUGUUUUAACCUUCGCAAGGACCGGGCGUAGCCACACUCGGUUCAACUAAAGUUGGAGAAACAGACACCCGCCAGCCACCUGUGUGCAAAGCACGUCAGUAGAAACAGUCUCGCAUAAGCGUACACGUAAUCUCGGCCCGGGCCGCUUCAUCCAACAAUACCGCCGAACCAAGGUAUGACAUGCUGGUAAGAAGUAUGACUUGUAUCGCCCACAACUCAUUUGUGUUCUACUCAUGCAUAUAACAUCUACGCAUAAAACCUGGCUCGGAUGCCACUGUUGGGGAAUGUAGUAAUUUUAAAAAAUAUCCUACGUACACGCAAGAUCAUGGUGAUGCAUAGCAACGAGAGGGGAAUGUAUCUUCAUACCCUUGAAGAUCGCUAAGCGGAAGCGUUUAUCAACGCGGUUGAUGUAUUCGUACGUCUUCACGAUUCGACCGAUCCAUGUACUGAACGCAUGGCACCUCUGAGUUUUGCACAUGUUCAACUCGAUGACGUCCUCGCCUUCUUGAUCCAGAGAGACGGGCGAAAUAGUAGAUGAGUUCCGGCAGCACGACGGCGUGGUGACGGUGUUGGUGAAGAAGAAUCUCCGUAGGGCUUCGCCUAAGCACUACAGAAACUAUGACGGGGGAUAAACUAGAGGGGACGGGGUUACCGGCACACGGCUUGGUGUUUCUUGAUGUGUCUUGGGUGCUAGCCCUACCCCUCUAUUUAUAUGUUGAGCCUUGGGGUCAAAACUUGGAGUAAAAGCCUCCUCAAAGUCGGUUUUGCCCGAAAGGCAAGAGUCUGGACUCCACAAAACUUCCUUUUGCGCUUUCCAAAAACCUUGUGGGCUUUCCCCUUUGGCCCAAAUAACGUGUUCUUGUACCCAAACAUUUCGGGAAACAUCUGGAACCCCUUCAGGUGGAUUCCGGAACUUUUCCGGAGAUCAAACACUACUAUCCACAUAUCAAUCUUUACUUCCGCAGCAUUCCGGAGUUCCUCGUCAUAUCCGUGAUCUCAUCCAAAAACUCCGAACAACAUUCGAUCACCAACAUACAUAACUCAUAGUACUAUAUCGUCAACGAACGUUAAGUGUGCGGACCCUAUGGGUUCGAGAACUAUGUAGACAUGACCGAGACACAUCUCUGGUCAAUAACCAAUAGCGGACCUGGAUGCCCAUAUUGGCUCCCACAUAUUCUACGAAGAUCUUUAUCGAUCAAACCGCAUAACAACAUACGUUGUUCCCUUUGUCAUCAGUAUGUUACUUGCCCGAGAUUCGAUCGUCGGUAUCUCAAUACCUAGUUCAAUCUCAUUACCGGCAAGUCUCUUUACUCGUUCCGUAAUACAUCAUCUCGCAACUAACUCAUUAGUUGCAAUGCUUGCAAGGCUUAAGUGACGUGCAUUACCGAGAGGGCCCAGAGAUACCUCUCCGACAAUCGGAGUGACAAAUCCUAAUCUCGAAAUACGCCAACCCAACAAGUACCUUCGGAGACACCUGUAGAGCACAUUUAUAAUCACCCAGUUAAGUUGUGAUGUUUGGUAGCACACAAAGUGUUCAUCCGGUAAACGGGAGUUGCAUAAUCUCAUAGUCAUAGGAACAUGUAUAAGUCAUGAAGAAAGCAAUAGCAACAUACUAAACGAUCGAUUGCUAAGCUAACGGAAUGGGUCAAGUCAAUCACAUCAUUCUCCUAAUGAUGUGAUCCCGUUAAUCAAAUGACAAAUCAUGUCUAUGGCUAGGAAACUUAACCAUCUUUGAUCAACGAGCUAGUCAAGUAGAGGAAUACUAGUGACACUCUGUUUGUCUAUGUAUUCACACAUGUACUAAGUUUCCAAUUAUUACAAUUCUAGCAUGAAUAACAAACAUUUAUCAUGAUAUAAGGAAAUAAAUAAUAACUUUAUUAUUGCCUCUAGGGCAUAUUUCCGAUGGUUGAUGAUGACGAUGGUGACAGAUUCCCCUCUCCGGAGCCCCGAACGGACUCCAGAUCAGUCCUCAUGGGGAAGAUUAGGGCUUGGCGGUGGCUCCGUAUCGUAAAACAUGAUGAAUCCUUCUCUUUGAUUUUUUUUCUCUUCGAACGUGAUUAUAUAGAGUUGGAGUUGAGGUUGGUGGAGGUCUAGGGGGCCCACGAGGCAGGGGGCGCGCCCUAGGGGGGGUGGACGCGCCCUGCACCCUCGUGGACAGGGUGUGGGCCCCCUUAUGCUUAUUCUUUUGCCAAUGUUGUUUAUUAAUUCCAAAACGUGUCUCCGUCGAUUUUCAGGUCAUUCCGAGAACUUUUAUUUCUGCACAAAAAUAACACCAUGGGAAUUCUGCUGAAAACAGCGUUAGUCCGGGUUAGUUCCAUUCAAAUCAUGCAAGUUAGAAUCCAAAACAAGAGCAAAAGUAUUUGGAAAAGUAGAUACGUUGGAGACGUAUCAGUCGCUUCCCGCUGCUUGGCCUGGCCAAAUUUGACCUUUAGUACCGGUUAGUGGCUCCAAUCGGUACUAAAGGUCCAUCCUAUAUAAGCAAUGCUGACGAAAAUUUCAGUUUCUUCUCCUCUUCCUCUGCUUCUUCAACCUUGUCGCGCCGUCGCCCGUCCCCGGCGCCUCCCCGGCCUAUCGCCGCCCCCAUCACGCGCAGCUACUAUCGCCGUCCCCAUCGCCGCGCCCGUCCCCGUCAUUACACGCCGCCCCCGGCCCGUCCCAUCGCGCGCGUGCCGCCCCGGCCCGUCCCCGUCGCUGCCACCCGUCGUCGACCCCGUCGCCUCACAUCGCCGGUUGUCACCCAGCUGUAAGACCGUCCCUGCCGCGCCAUGGCCGCGCUCACACACACACUCAGUACACACGACACACACAGAGAGAAAAUGUUAGAUGAUUAGAUGAAUUAGCUAGAUAUUAAUGUCAAAUGUUAGAUGAAUUUUAUGAAUUAGCUAGAUAUUAAUGUUAGAUGAGUAAGUUUUUUAAUUCUUUUAGUUAUAAAUGAAUUAGAUAUAUUAAUGUUAGAUAUUAGCAUGAAUAUAUAUAAACUUCAGGUUGUUAUCAAUUUGAUGAUAUUGUUCAAAAUGAAUGUCCACGAUAAACUCUAUUGACAAAUCUAACAACUCGCGAUGAACACAAAGGCCAAGAUAGCAAAAAAUAUUGACUUCAUUGCAAUAUUUUCUAAGGCAUCAAAUGUUAAUAAUAGAUCAUAACUCAUAGGAAUAACCAACCUGGUAAAGUUUAUUCUAGCCGGUCUUCUAAAUUUCUACAAAUUAAUAGAACUAGUUGAAUUCUAUAUGAGAUUUGAAUUAGUAAGUUCUUAGUUGAAUUAGUAAGAAAAUUAGUAAGUGCUUAGUUGAAUUAGUAAGAAAAUAAAUUAUUUUUAUUUAUAGUAAGUGAUUAGUUGAAUUAGUACAAGUUGAGUCAUCUAUUUUGGAACGGAGGGAGUAGUUGUGUAGAGGAAUAUAAUGGAAAAGGUCAUACUGUUUCAAUGGAUAGGUAAACAUUAAAAAAUGUCAUCCAUUUAAUACUCGAACAAAGGACAGUUCCCUACUAUGUUUAGAAGAAUAGCUUUAUACUUCCUCCGUUUCUUUUUGGUCUUCACAUAAGAUUUGGUCAAAGUCAAACUUUGUAAAAUUUAACCAGCUUUAUAUGAAAAGAUAUCAACACUCACACUAUGAAAUCAAUGUUAUUAGAUGCAUUAUGGAAUUAAUUUUCAUAACAUAUAACUUUUGUAUGGUAGAUGUUGAUUUUUUUCUAUGAAGUUAGUCAAACUUUAUAAAGUUUGACUUUGACCAAAUCUUAUAUGCAGACUAAAAAGAAACGGAGUGAGUAAUAAAGAAACGUCAGGCAACUGGCAGUCACCCUUGUGCGCUAAAAAUUGCAAUGGUGCAAAAACAAUUAAGUGGUAUACAUACUGUGAUGUUUGGUUUGCAUGAGUGUUUUAUCAAUUUAACGGAUUUAUAUGGUACGAUCUUAUAUAUAAUCUUAUUUAUUAGGUUCGUUAAUUGGCUCUGUGAUGUAUACUUGAUAACCGCAGAUAAGUACGUACUCGUAGUAGCUAGCUAGCAAUAAUUCAGUCGUGCCACAUGCUCGCUUACAGGCCGCCAUGCAUGUAUCUUCUCCGAUGGACAGAAGUUCAAAUAUGACUUGGUGUCUCACACUCAAAUUAAUUUCUGAAACGGAUUAUCCAUAGAAAGAAUCUCUCGCACAAAUGACUAGAACAGCAGCUGAUCGAUGUUAGGUACGAGCAAACAAGUAUAUUAUAGUAAGAUAAACUCACAUUUAGUGCAAGUUGUGCAAUGCGAAAAGGACACAACACUAUUUAAAAAAUAAUAAUAGACCACUAGCAGAACAGUUGGUCUAUACUUUGUUCUAAUGUGCCAUGUUGCGAGAAAAAUAAAACCAGCCACCUACGAUUAAAAAUAUUGUAAUUCUCGUGAAACAACGAUUAUCCUGCGAUUCCCUGCUUCUAGCAUGCGCUUCCUAUGACCAGGCCACUAAGUCGGAAUUUCCGAGCGUAGCUUUUUCUUUCCCCUCUCGCAAGGCGACUAGGGAAAGCAUUUCUCCCUUUGAUCUUCCUCGUGUGAGCCCGUGGAUUCGCCUCCACUCCACCUGCCGUUUUAGCGGCCGAUAGCGGUCGGGAGGGUAUUUCUGGUGCCUCGGCUUAUAUAGGUAGGGUUUUGGUUCUUGCAAGGGCGGCGCUCGAACGGAUGGCAGAGCUUCUUCUUCGAGUCAGUCUUCUGGGCUCCCAUUCUCCUCAAGUUCGUUCCUGGGGAUGGAUUAGACAAAGCUCCAGCAUGGAUUCCUGCCAGCUCCUUGAACGACGAGGUUUGGCUUUCUUGUCGUGCAUACGCAAUAGCAAGAUUUUCUGUUAGAUUCUUCAGAUCAAUUCAACGAUUCGAUGGUGACUACUGGGACUCCCGAACUCUGGUCCUUAAGGGCACGUGCACAAAGACUUCCCGGUUGUCAUCGACAAGGUAAGGCCGGAUCCGGUAUAUGAGCGACAAUAGCGACGCGUCGGCAGCUCAUUCUGGCGGCGGCAAUGGUCGUUCGGUUGUCCAUGAACCUCGAUGUAAUUUUUAUGAUGUUUGGGGUGCUCUGUACUUCCAGUGAAUCUUUAUAAUAGAUAUGAUAUUUUCGUAAAAAAAAGUUAGAAUUUCAGAAAACCGGCCGGUUUCCAAAAAUUUUGUUUGAAAGAAACCCUGCGAUAGUACAACAGCCACCCAUGAUGGGACGCUGCGAUCAACCUAAGCGCCCGCCUAUAUAAGCAGCAGGUCCGUGAUUGCCUCCCACACUCGAAGGGUCCAAAGAUAAUCUUCAUCUUCACCGCCCACACGCCGUAGUUGGCGUCGAUGAGCAUCAGGUACUGUAUGGGGAUGUUGCCGUGCGACAGCACGUUGGCGCCGCCCCUUCCUCCACCACUGGUCGCUGAAUUUACGCCCUAGUUCACCUUAUCGCCGUUCUUGUUCACGUUGGAACCAACGUUACCGGACUUGUUCGCCUUGGAACCGCCGUUGCCGGACUUGGAGUUGACCCACUCCUGAUCGAUGUUCCCCAUCAUAGAUCGUAGAUCGUUGAGGCUUGAGAUACCAAUUAUUGGCUUUAUAACACUAGAUCAAUUCACCAGGAGCUACAAUGUGUAUGUGCAGCAAAGCUAUCAAGCAAGCAAGCCACUAUAAGUAUUUUAUCAAUUUGACGGAUUGACAUGGUAUGUCGUAUAUAUAAGUUGAUUUAUUUGGUUCGUUAAUUUGUUCAAUGAUGUACAGUUCAUAAUCGAGGAUAAGAACUAGCUAGCUAGCAAUAAUACAUACUCGCGUACCACAAUUAUGUUUCUUCAAUGAUCAUGAUUGAGAUGGAGAUUAUUUAGAGCUACUUUAUAAUCAGUUUGUUUAUAAGAGUGAACAAUUACAUUACUCCAGGUUUGUUGCCAGCAUAGUUGCAAUUUUAACAAUGGUUGCUGCCACCUGCCUGCCGUUCAAGUACUAUAAAGGAUUGCCUCUCAGUGCAGCAGCGCACACCGCCCAUGAAAGCGAUGCGACAGCUAUGGCGAGGUUCACCGCGGCACAUCCAGUGCUCGUGCAGGCGAAGUACGGAGUUUUUUCCAUGACACGCAGAGCACGAAGAAAGAAGAUGCAACGGCCAGCAGCCGUUGCCCAAAAUGGCAAUGGUGCAAAAAAGAUUAGGUGGUAUAUACGCCGGCAUGUUCGAUAGACACGACUUCAUCAUUUUAACAGAUUGAUACAGUUGUAUAUGUAAUUUAUUAGAUUCCUUAAUGAUUUAACCCCUAUGUGCUUUCCCUAAAGUUGCAAAACACGCUGUCGAAACUGCGUUAGGAAGGAUUUUCUUGACAUGCCAAGGCUAGUUCUGUACUUUUUUUGAACACAGUACAAAAGCAAGCGCUCUUACAUACGCGCAUAUACUCACCCUUAUGAACGCACACACGCACACUCUACCCAUAUGAGCACCUCCGAGAGACUGAGCCAACAUAUCAUCUUGCGCAUCGCCGGAAAUCAUGAAAUUAAUUCGGAAAUAAUGCGAGCACCAGUACUAGUUGUGUGGAAGAAUAUAAUGGAAAAGGUUACACUGGUUGAAUGUUCAAGUAAACAUUCAAAAACGUCAUCCUUUUAAUACUCGAACAAAGUACAGUUCUGUACGAGUUAUGUUUAGAAGAUUCGGUGGUAUACAUACUGUCAUGUUUGGUUUGCAUGAGUGUUUUAUCGAUUUAACGGAAUGAUAUGGUACGUCUUAGUCCUAUAUAUAAUCUUAUCUAUUAGGAUAGUUAAUUGGCUCAGUAAUGUACACUUGAUAACCGAAUAUAAGUACGUACUCAUAGUAGCUAGCUAGCAAUGAUUCGGUCGUACCACAUGCUCGCUUACAGGCCACCAUGCAUGGUUCUUCUCCGAUGGACAGAAGUUCAAAUAUGACUUGGUGUCUCACACUCAAAUUAGUUUCUGAAACGCAUUAUCCAUGGAAAGAUUCUCUAGCACAAAUGACUAGCACAACAGCUGAUCGAUGUUAGGUAUGAGCAAACAAGUACUCUCUCCGUUCCAAAAUAGAUGACCCAACUUUGCACUAAAUGGUCAUCUAUUUUAGAACGGAGGGAGUACAUUAUAGUAACAUAAACUCACAUUUAGUUCAAGUUGUGCAAUGCGAAAAGGACACAACACUAUUUAGCGGAAUAGUUGGUGUAUACUUUGUUCUAAUGUGCCAUGUUGCGAGAAAAAAAAACACCACAUAGAAAUAAAAAAAUGUAAAUCUCGUGAAACAGGGAUGGAACCCGCGACUCCGUGUCAUUAGCAUGCGCUUCCUUUGAACCAGGCCACUAAGCAAGUUCUACACACGUGUGCAUACAUUUUCUCUUUGACCUUGUUCACUUAUUUAAAUUCAAAACAAUUUGAUUUUUUCAGACGGUAUUUCAUUGUUUCGCGAAUUUCCAAAAAUCUCGUUUGAAAAAAAAAACCUGCGACAGUACAUCUGCCACCCACGACGUGCUGCUGCGAUGGAACUAGCUAGGCGCCCGCCUAUAUAAGCAUGAGGUCCGGUGCAUGUAUUCCAGACAAGGAUACAACCUGAGCUAAUCAAGAUGGCUUCCUCCACGCCUUACCGUGUCCUACUCUUGUGCCUCACCACUUUCCUGCAGGCAUGGCUUGCUGCGGCAAAAUACCCGCCGCAUAACCCACCGCCGCCGCCCCCGCCGUUUGAGCUGCCGGAGUCCGACGUGAGGGAGAGGUUCUCCAAGUGGGUGAUCAAGUACUCAAAGCACUACUCGUGCCAUGAGGAGGAGGAGAUGCGGUUCCAAGUCUUCAAGAACAACACCAACGCCAUCGGCCAAUUCGACCAACAGAAUCCUGGCACCGUCGUCGGUCNNNNNNNNNNUAAAUUCAAAACAAUUUGAUUUUUUCAGACGGUAUUUCAUUGUUUCGCGAAUUUCCAAAAAUCUCGUUUGAAAAAAAAAACCUGCGACUGUACAUCAGCCACCCACGACGUGCUGCUGCGAUGGAACUAGCUAGGCGCCCGCCUAUAUAAGCAUGAGGUCCGGUGCAUGUAUUCCAGACAAGGAUACAACCUGAGCUAAUCAAGAUGGCUUCCUCCACGCCUUACCGUGUCCUACUCUUGUGCCUCACCACUUUCCUGCAGGCAUGGCUUGCUGCGGCAAAAUACCCGCCGCAUAACCCACCGCCGCCGCCCCCGCCGUUUGAGCUGCCGGAGUCCGACGUGAGGGAGAGGUUCUCCAAGUGGGUGAUCAAGUACUCAAAGCACUACUCGUGCCAUGAGGAGGAGGAGAUGCGGUUCCAAGUCUUCAAGAACAACACCAACGCCAUCGGCCAAUUCGACCAACAGAAUCCUGGCACCGUCGUCGGUCGCGGGUUCCGACCAACUGGGUUUCAGGUCCGUGGCUCGGGCGGGGUCCGUAUGAACAGGUUCGGCGACCUCAGUCCCAGGGAGGUCAUCCAGCAGUUCACCGGGCUCAACACCACCAGCUUCAAUGCCACGUCACCCACCUACCUCCCCUACCACUCCUUCAAGCCGUGCUGCGUUGACUGGCGCUCCAGCGGCGCUGUCACCGGCGUCAAGAAUCAAGGCACUUGUGGUAAACGGUCAAGCUAUACUUUCUACUAGCAGAUUUAGUUAUAUACUCAUGCAUGGUCAUGGUUGCUCAAUGAAUUACUCGUGUCGUCGUGCGGAUGGAUAAAAUUGUAAUAUGGCAGGAUCAUGCUGGGCAUUCGCGGCGGUGGCGGCGAUCGAAGGCAUGAACAAGAUUAGGACAGGGGAGCUGGUGUCGCUGUCCGAGCAGGUACUCGUGGAUUGCGACACACGGAGCGGCGGCUGCGGCGGCGGCCACUCAGACUCGGCUAUGGCCCUCGUGGCCGCCCGUGGUGGCAUCACGUCGGAGGAGAGGUACCCAUACGCCGGAUUCCAGGGAAAGUGCGACAUGGACAAGCUCCUCUUCGACCACCAGGCGUCCCUCAAGGGCUUCAAGGCCGUGCCACCCAACAACGAAGGUCAGCUGGCGAUUGCCGUGGCCAUGCAGCCCGUGACGGUCUACAUUGACGCCAGCGGUUUUGAGUUCCAGUUCUACUCCGGCGGCAUCUACCGUGGCCCCUGCUCCGCCAAUGUGAACCACGCCGUCACCAUCGUCGGCUACUGCGAGGGUCCCGGCGAGGGAAACAAGUACUGGAUUGCCAAGAACUCGUGGAGCAACGACUGGGGUGAACAAGGAUAUGUCUACCUCGCAAAGGACGUGCCCUCGUCCACGGGCACAUGUGGCCUCGCCACCUCGCCCUUCUACCCCACGGCUUGACCACAGGCAGCACUAUGUGUGAUAUCUAAGGAAUUGCUUCCGUUUCGUUGUGAUAAUGCUAAAUUAUUAUUUUGAUUAUACUUCCCUUUAAUUUGAUCAAUAAUAGGUAGACCGUGCGUGCAAUAUAUCAUGGCCUGAGUAAUAAAGUUUCGAGUGAAUUACACUUUUUACAAGUUAAUUGUGCAAUUUUUUGUGACACGUAUUUACCGAUUUAGCAGAUGUUGCAUCGAAAUGUCCCAUCUAAAAAACAUUGUACCAGAUUUUACUCCAUUUUAGCAUUUCGCCUAUUAUUAGAUAUGACCCGCAUGUUAGGUAGGUACUUUAACAACAAUGUGUAAACAUCUCAGGACAGGAUGGACUAUCAUGUUUAGCCUUCUCUUCUCCAUGUAUUCCACUGCUCGCCAUCCUUAUGGUAUCCUCUAACGGUGAUCAUCGCCGCACGCAUUUUACAAUCGACACCCAUGAGAGAAACAUGGUACAAAGUUUUAAAAUAGGGUAAUGUAGACGAAUGCUCAUGAAAUGGGUUAACUGGUUCCGCGAAUGUACAAAUUGGAGGUAAAAAGUGAAGCUCAGUCUGAAUUUACAGAUAACAUGUUGGGUACUGUCAUGCUCGUGUGUUCUCUUCUUUGUUUCUACUUCUCUGUUGGGAUUAUUUUUCUAAAAUCAAAUUUGCAUGUGCAAUGAGCAUUUUUACGGUACCGUUAAAAACAUAUGAAAACUCCAUUUGUUAGAUUGUGAUGGCUGAAGAUUAGACGUAGAUAUAUAGGAUUGCCACCUCUAAAAUCCGUGGGGUACAUUUUGAAGUCGUAAUCAAGACAAAAUUACUGUGCCGUCAGAUCAUCUCAAUUGUGCUCCUGUUAUUAUGUACGCAUACCCCCAUAUUUUCUUCGUUUCUGGACGUCUAAACACAAGAUCUGAACGAAUCGGGGCGGAUGUCCCCCAAGUGUACCCCCAAAUGGAUUACUAUUUCCGCGACCAAUUAAGCAUCUAAUAGCGAAUAUUGCAAAGUAACAUAGAACAGGAAAAUGUAUACUAGUAGUCCUUGCAUCUGAAACUUUUCUCAUUUAUCCUAUAGCAAUUCUAUCAGUAAAUCCAUCCAUAUCUCUAGGAUGUGGUUCCUCGAUGCUGCCCACAAAGGGCAACUUGCAAACCAAACAAAAAUCAUAGAGUGACAUCUUCUUAACCUCAUCAUAUAAGUAAAACUCCACUGAAGGUGGUGAUUUUCUAGCAUGGAAAUAAAAGUUUUGCAUGAAAAUAUUAGUGAGUAGGAGAUACUGUUUACACUGGUCGUGGAGGAAGUCGGUGAUGCCUGCAUUCUCAGCCAAAUAAUAAAAGUCGUCGUAAAUUCUGGCGGCUCUCAAAAAUGCAUCACAAGGCCAUUCGCACGACCGAACCUCCACAACGCGAGGAAGAUUGUAUUUGGGCUUUUUAUUCUCCUCAUUCUGCUUAUCAUUCGAGCUUCGGCUCGAGGAGCCCCGCAGGAAUCACUUCAUCAUUUUCGUUCUCUGAAAAAAUUCUGAAAUUUUUAGUGACUCAAAAUAGAAGUGAAUCAGACUCAACAAAAUUGAUAGCAACUACUCCCACAAGUGCCUAGAGGCUAUAUCAUGCAUUAAAACUACUUUGGACCAUAUAAAUUUGACAUGCAAGCUCAAGAACAAGGUCACCUCAGCAGCAAAAUUUUGUAAUAAAUAAAGCACUAGAACAAAAACUAAUUGGACCAUUGGAGGAGUCACAUACCGAAGAACAAUCCCUCAAAGCAGUUUUGUGAAUGGAGCUUUGAGUAAGGAGAUCGAAAAUGGCAGCAAAACGAGCUAGAACACGAGUUUGAGCUACAGGAUGAUUUUUUGGAGGAAGACAAAGUGUGUGGGUGCUGGAAUAAGUGGAGAGGGGCCACGUGGGGUCCACGAGGCAGGGGGCGCGCCCGAGGGGUGUGGGCGCGCCCUGUGCCCUUGUGGCCAAAUGGUGGGUACCCCUGGUGUGUUCUAAGUGCCAGAAAUUCUUAAAUAUUCUAUAAAAAAUCAUACUCCAUUUUUAGGGCAUUUAGAGAACUUUUAUUUUCAGGAUAUUUUUUAUUGCAAGGAUAAUUCAGAAAACAGACAGAAAAUACUAUUUUUACUUUAUUUAAUCUAAAUAACAGAAAGUAAAAUGAUGGUACAGAGAGUUUUGCUUUCUAAUUUCAUCCAUCUCAUGCUCAUCAAAAGGAAUCCACUAACAAGGUUGAUCAAGUCUUGUUAACAAACUACUUCCGAAUAACAUGUAACCAGAGAAUUUCCGAAUACCACUAGGUUACCUCAACGGGGAUAUGCAUGUCCCUAAUAUUAAGAAUAUCAUAUUUCUUUUUUAUAGUAGGAAGAGGUAAUUCAAAACCUCCAAUAGUAAUCAUUGAAAAUUUUCCAAUAGAAUUGAUACUAUGAACUUGAGGUUGUUUCUUCAGACAGUGUAUCGUAUGCUCAUUAUCAUUAACAUGAAAGGUGACACUGCCUUUGUUGCAAUCAAUAAUAGCCCCUGCAGUAUUAAAAAAGGGUCUACCAAGGAUAAUCGACAUACUGUCGUCCUCGGAAAUAUUAAGAAUAACAAAGUCCAUUAAAAUAGUAACGUUUGCAACCACAACAGUCACAUCCUCACAAAUACCAACGGGUAUAGCGGUUGAUUUAUCGGCCAUUUGCAAAGAGAUUUCAGUAGGUGUCAACUUAUUCAAAUCAAGUCUACGAUAUAAGGAGAGAGGCAUAACAGUGACACCGGCUCCAAGAUCACAUAAAGUAGUUUUAACAUAGUUUCUUUUAAAGGAGCAUGGUAUAGUUGGUACUCCUGGAUCUCCAAGUUUCUUUAGUAUUCCACCCUUAAAAGUAUAAUUAGCAAGCAGGGUGGGAAUUUCAGCUUCCGGUAUCUUCCUUUUAUUUGUAACAAUAUCUUUCAUAUACUUAGCAUAAGGAUUCAUUUUAAGAAUGUCUGUCAAAUGCAUACGCAAAAAGAUAGGUCUAAUCAUUUCAGCAAAGCACUCAAAAUCCUCAUCAUCCUUUUUCUUGGAUGGCUUAGGAGGAAAAGGCAUGGGUUUCUGAACCCAUGGUUCUCUUUCUUUACCAUGCUUCCUAGCAAAGAAGUCUCUCUUAUCAUAUCGUUGAUUCUUUGAUUGUGGGUUAUCAAGAUCAACAUCAGGUUCAAUCUCUACAUCAUUGUUAUUGCUAGGUUGAGCAUCAACAUGAACAUCAUCAUUAACAUUAUCACUAGGUUCAUGUUCAUUACCAAAUUGUGUUUCAGCAUCAGAAAUAGAAAUAUCAUUGGGAUUCUCAGGUGUAUCUAUAACAGGUUCACUAGAAGCAUGCAAAGUCCUAUCAAUUUUCCUUUUCUUUUCUUAGAAUGGCUAGGUGCAUCAACUUAGUUCUCUGAGAAUCUUGCUCAACUCUCUUAGGAUGGCCCUCAGUAUACAAACGUUCCUGGGUCAUUUUACCACCUCUAGUCAUAACUCUAACAUCAUUAUCAUUGUUCUUAUUAUUUAAUUCAUUGAGCAAAUCGUCUUUUUCUUUAAGUACUUGUUCUACUUGAGUGGUAACCAUGGAUGCAUGUUUACUAAUAAGCUUAAGGUCACCUUUAACUCUAGACAUAUAAUCACUCAAGUGUUCAACCAUAUAAGCAUUACGUUUCAAUUGUCUACCAACAUAAGCAUUGAAGUUUUCUUGUUUAACAAUAAAAUUAUCAAACUCAUCCAGGCAUUGACUAGCAGACUUAUUACGAGGAAUAUCACCUUCAUCAAAUCUAUAGAGAUAAUUUGCCUUUACUACCUGUGUCGGGUUAUUAAGACCAUGUAUUUCUUCAAUAGGUGGCAAAUUCUUAACAUCUUCAACUUUAAUACCUUUUUCUUUCAUAGAUUUCUUUACCUCUUGCAUAUCUUUAGGACUGAGAAAUAGUAUACCCCUUUUCUUCGGAGUUGGCUUAGGACUUUGUUCAAGAAGUGUCCAAUUAUUAUCAUUACUCAAUAUAUUAUUCAGUAGCAAUUCAGCUUGCUCAACAGUUCUUUCCCUGAAAACACAACCAGCACAACUAUCUAGGUGGUGUCUGGAAGCAUCGGUUAGUCCAUUAUAAAAUAUAUCAAGUAUUUCAUUUUUCUUGAGAGGAUGAUCAGGAAAAGCAUUAAGUAAUCGGAGAAGCCUCCCCCAAGCUUGUGGGAGACUCUCUUCUCCAAUUUGCUCAAAAUUAUAUAUUUCCCUUAAGGCAGCUUGUUUCUUAUGGGCGGGAAAAUAUUUUGCAGAGAAGUAAUAAAUCAUAUCCUGGGGACUAUGCACACAACCAGGAGCAAGAGAAUUAAAUCAUAUCUUAGCAUCACCCUUUAAUGAGAACUGAAAUAAUUUAAGGAUAUACUAAUGGCGAAUUUUUACGUCAUGGGUAAAUAGGGUGGCUAUAUCAUUCAAUUUAGUAAGAUGUGCCACAACAGUUUCAGACUCAUAGCCGUAAAAAGGAUCAGAUUCAACCAAAGUAAUUAACUCAGGAUUGACAGAGAAUUCAUAAUCCUUAUAAGUAACACAGAUAAGUGAAGUAGCAAAAGCAGGGCCAUACUUCAUUUUAGCAUUAAGAGACUUUUCUUUCAGCUUAGCUAACAGUUUCUUAAGAUCAUAUAUAUCUUUGCAAGCAAAAAGGUCUCUAGAAGUUUCUUCAUUCAUAACAUAACCCUCAGGCACAACAAACAAUUCGUAUCUAGUGGGAGAAUCUUCAUCAUCACUUUCAUCAAUAUUAUAAGUUUCAAUAAUUUCAUUCUAUCUAACCCUAGAAAGUUGUUCAUCAAGAAAUUCACCUAAUGGCACAGUAUUAUCAAGCAGAGAAGAAGUUGAAGGAAAUAUGCCCUAGAGGCAAUAAUAAAGUUAUUAUUUAUUUCCUUAUUUAAUGAUAUAUGUUUAUUAUUCAUGCUAGAAUUGUAUUAAUCGGAAACCUAAUACAUGUGUGAAUACAUAGACAAACAAAGUGUCACUAGUGUGCCUCUACUUGACUAGCUUGUUGAUCAAAGAUGGUUAUGUUUCCUGACCAUAGACAUGUGUUGUCAUUUGAUUAAUGGGAUCACAUCAUUAGGAGAAUGAUGUGAUUGACAUGACCCAUUCCGUUAGCUUAGCUCACGAUCGUUUAGUAUGUUGCUAUUGCUUUCUUCAUGACUUAUACAUGUUCCUAUGACUAUGAGAUUAUGCAACUCCCGUUUACCGGAGAAACACUUUGUGUGCUACCAAACGUCACAACGUAACUGGGUGACUAUAAAGGUGCUCUACAGGUGUCUCCGAAGGUACAUGUUGGGUUGGCAUAUUUCGAGAUUAGGAUUUGUCACUCCGAUUGUCGGAGACGUAUCUCUGGGCCCUCUCGGUAAUACACAUCACUUAAGCCUUGCAAGCAUUGCAACUAAUGAGUUAGUUGCGGGAUGAUGUAUUAUGAAACGAGUAAAGAGACUUGCCGGUAACGAGAUUGAACUAGGUAUUGAGAUACUGAUGAUCGAAUCUCGGGCAAGUAACAUACCGAUGACAAAGGGAACAACGUAUGUUGUUAUGCGGUCUGACCGAUAAAGAUCUUCGUAAAAUCUGUGGGAACCAAUAUGAGCAUCCAGGUUCUGCUAUUGGUUAAUGACCGGAGACGUGUCUCGGUCAUGUUUACAUUGUUCUCGAACCCGUAGGGUCCGCAUGCUUAAGGUUUCGAUGACAGUUAUAUUAUGAGUUUAUGAGUUUUGAUGUACCGAAGGAGUUCGGAGUCCCAGAUGAGAUCGGGGACAUGACGAUGAGUCUCGAAAUGGUCGAGACAUAAAUAUCUAUAUAUUGGACGACUAUAUUCGGAGUUCGGAAAGGUUCCAAGUGUUUUGGGUAUUUUUCGGAGUACAGGAGAGUUACGGGAAUUCGUCGGGGAGUAUAUGGGCCUUAUUAGGCCAUACGGGAAUAGAGGAGAGUGGCCAAAAGGAAGGAGGCCUGCGCCCCCCCUCUGGUCCGAAUUGGACAAGGGGCGCAACCCCUUUUUCCUUCUUCCUCUCCCCCUCUUUCCCCUUCUCCUACUCCAACAAGGAAGGAGGGAGUCCUACUCCCUGUGGGAGUAGGACUCCCCUUGGCGCACACCCUCCUAGGAUGGCUGCCCCCUCCCCCUUGCUCCUUUAUAUACGGGGGCAGGGGGGCACCUCUAGACACAACAACACUUGAUCCUUGAGAUCUCUUAGCCGUGUGCGGUGCACCCCUCCACCAUAGUCCUCGAUAAUAUUGUAGCGGUGCUUAGACGAAGCCCUGCGACAGUAGAACAUCAAGAUCGUCACCACGCCGUCGUGCUGACGGAACUCUUCCCCGACACUUUGCUGGAUCGGAGUCCGGGGAUCGUCAUCGAGCUGAACGUGUGCUAGAACUCGUAGGUGCCGUAGUUUGGGUGCUUGAUCGGCCGGGCCGUGAAGACGUACGACUACAUCAACCGCGUUGUUAUAACGCUUCCGCUUUCGGUCUACGAGGGUACAUGGACAUACUCUCCCCUCUCGUUGCUAUGCAUCACCAUGAUCUUGCGUGUGCGUAGGAAAUUUUUUGAAAUUACUACGUUCCCCAACAAUAGUUUCAUCAUAAGCAUUAUGCAUUGCACAAGUGGCAUCAUCAAUAACGUGCGACAUAUUAGAAUCAAUAGGAGGUGCAGGUGUCGCAAAUUUACUCAUAAUAGAAGGUGAAUCAAGUGCAUAGCUAGAUGGGAGUUCCUUACCUACCCUCGUAGUUGAGGGGAAAAUCUUGGUUCUUUCAUCUUUCAAGUUCCUCAUAGUGAUCAGCAGAUAUAAAUCCCAAGUGACUCAAAGAAUAGAGCUAUGCUCCCGGGCAAUGGAGCCAGGAAAGAGUCUUGAUAACCCACAAGUAUAGGCGAUUGCAACAAUUUUUGAUGGUAGAGUAUUCAACCCAAAUUUAUUGAUUCGACACAAGGGGAGCCAAAGAAUAUUCUCAAGUAUUAGCAACUGAGUUGUCAAUUCAACCACACCUGAAAGACUUAAUAUCUGCAGAAAAGUAUUUAGUAGCAAAGUAGUAGGAAGUAACGGUAACGGUGGCAAAAGUAACGUUAACGGUUUUGUAGCAAUCCUAACAGUGGCAAUGGAGAAGUAACUUAGCAAAAAUCAAUAUGUGAAAAUCUCGUAGGCAAUGGAUCAAUGAUGGAUAAUUAUGUCAGAUGCAAUUCAUCGUGCAACAUUUAUAACAUAGGGUGACACAGAACUAGCUCCAGUCCAUCAAUAUAAUGUAGGCAUGUACUCCGAAAUAGUCAUACGUGCGUAUGGAAAAGAACUUGCAUGACAUCUUUUGUCCUACCCUCCCGUGGCAGCGGGGUCGUAUUGGAAACUAAGGGAUAUUAAGGCCUCCUUUUAAUAGAGUACUAGACCAAAGCAUUAACACUUAGUUAAUACAUGAACUCCUCAAACUACGGUCAUCACUGGGAGUGGUCCCGAUUAUUGUCACUUCGGGGUUGCCGGAUCAUAACACAUACUAGGUGACUAUUGACCUGCAAGAUAGGAUCAAGAACUCACAUAUAUUCAAGAAAACAUAAUGAGUUUAGAUCUGAAAUCAUGGCACUCGGGCCCUAGUGACAAGCAUUAAGCAUGGCAAAGUCAUAGCAACAUCAAUAUUAGAACAUAAUUGAUACUAGGGAUCAAACCCUAUAAAAACUAACUCGAUUACAUGGUAAAUCUCAUCCAUCCCAUCACCGUCCAGCAAGCCUACGAUGGGAUUACUGACGCACGGCGGUGAGCAUCAUGAAAUUGGUGAUGGAGGAUGGUGUUGGGGAACAUAGUAAUUUUAAAAAAUAUCCUACACACAAGCAAGAUCAUGGUGAUGCAUUGCAACGAGAGGGGGAGUGUAUCUUCAUACCCUUAAAGAUUGCUAAGCGGAAGCGUUUAUCAACGCGGUUGAUGUAGUCGUACGUCUUCAUGAUCCGACCGAUCCAAGUACAGAACGCACGGCACUUCUGAGUUCUACACACGUUCAGCUCGAUGACGUCCUCGCCUUCUCGAUCCAGCAAGAUGGGCAAAGUAGUAGAUGAGUUCCGUCAGCACGACGGCGUGGUGACGGUGUUGGUGAAGAACAAUCUCCGCAGGGCUUCGCCUAAGCACUACGGAACCUAUGAUGGAGGAUAAACUAGAGGGGACGGGGUUGCCGGCACACGGCUUGGUGUUUCUUGAUGUGUCUUGGGUGCUAGCCCUACACCUCUAUUUAUAUGUUGAGCCUUGGUGUCGAAACUUGGAGUAAAAGCCUCCUCAAAGUUGGUUUUGUCCGAAAGGCAAGAGUCCUUCUCGGACUCCAGGGCCAGACGCCAGGGUUCCUGGCAUCUGGACCCAGAUGCCAGGGACCCUGGCGUCUGGCCCCUGGACUCUGCAAAACUUCCUUUUGCCCUUUCCAAAAACCUUGUGGGAUUUCCCCUUUGGCCCAAAUAACGUGUUCUUGUAACCAAACAUUUCGGGAAACAUCCGGAACCCCUUACGGUGGAUUCCGGAACCUUUUCGGAGAUUAAACACUACUAUCCACAUAUCAAUCUUUACUUCCGGACCAUUUCGGAGUUCCUCGUCAUAUCCGUGAUCUCAUCCAAAAACUCCGAACCACAUUCGGUCGCCAACAUACAUAACUCAUAGUACUAUAUCGUCAACGAACGUUAAGCGUGCGGACCCUACGGGUUCGAGAACUAUUUAGACAUGACCGAGACACGUCUCUGGUCAAUAACCAAUAGCGGGACCUGGAUGCCCAUAUUGGCUCCCACAUAUUCUACAAAGAUCUUUAUCGGUCAAACCGCAUAACAACAUACGUUGUUCCCUUUGUUAUCGGUAUGUUACUUUCCCGAGAUUCGAUCGUCGUUAUCUCAAUACCUAGUUCAAUCUCGUUACCGGCAAGUCUCUUUACUCGUUCCGUAAUACAUCAUCUCGCAACUAACUCAUUAGUUGCAAUGCUUGCAAGGAUUAAGUGAUGUGUAUUACCUAGAGGGCCCAGAGAUACCUCUCCGACAAUCGGAGUGACAAAUCCUAAUCUCGAAAUACGCCAACCCAACAAGUACCUUCGGAGACACCUGUAGAGCACAUUUAUAAUCACCCAGUUAUGAUGUGAUGUUUGGUAGCACACAAAGUGUUCCUCCGGUAAACGGGAUUUGCAUAAUCUCAUAGUCAUAGGAACAUGUAUAAGUCAUAAAGAAAGCAAUAGCAACAUACUAAACGAUUGAUUGCUAAGCUAACGGAAUGGGUCAAGUCAAUCACAUCACUCUCCUAAUGAUGUGAUCCCAUUAAUCAAAUGACAACUCAUGUCUAUGGCUAGGAAACUUAACCAUCUUUGAUCAACGAGCUAGUCAAGUAGAGGCAUACUAGUGACACUCUGUUUGUCUAUGUAUUCACACAUGUACUAAGUUUCCGGUUAAUGCAAUUCUAGCAUGAAUAAUAAACAUUUAUCAUGAUAUAAGGAAAUAAAUAAUAACUUUAUCAUUGCCUCUAGGGCAGAUUUCCUUAAGUCUCCCACUUGCACUAGAGUCAAUAAUCUAGAUCACAUCGCCAUGUGAUUUAACAUCAAUAGUUCACAUCACCAUGUGAUUAACACCCAUAGUUCACAUCGUCAUGUAACCAACACCCAAAUGGUUUACUAGAGUCAACACCCAAAAGUUUGCACCGAUGUAACUUUUACAACGAAAUCUUUUAUCACCUCCAUAAUCGAGAAACAUCUCCUUAGUCCUCACUAAGGAUAUUCUUGACCGCUUUCCAGUGAUCUACUAUUAGAUCAAAAUUGUAUUCCUUUGUCAAACUCACAGCAAGGUAUACAAUAGGUCUGGUUCAGAGCAUAGCAUACUUUAUAGAACCUAUGACUGAGGCAUAAGGAAUGACUUUUCAUUCUCUUUCUAUUUUCUGCCAUGGUUGGGUAGUCUUACUCAACUUCACACCUUGCAACACAGGCAAGAACACCUUCUUUGACUGUUCCAUUUUUAACUAUUUCAAAAAAAAAUUCAAUGUAUGUACUAAUUGAAAAAUCUUAUCAAGCAUCUUGAUCUAUCUAUAUAGAUCUUGAUGCUCGAUGUGUAAGCAACUUCACCGAGGUCUUUCUUUGAAAAACUCUUAUUCAAGUAUCCUUUUAUGCUAUCCAGAAUUUCUAUACCAUUUCCAAUCAACAAUAUGUCAUCCACAUAUAAUAUUAGAAAUGCUAAGAGCUCCCACUCACUUUCUUGUAAAUACAGGCUUCUCAAAAAGUCUGUAUAAAACCAUAUGCUUUGAUCAACUCAUCCAAGCGUAUAUUCCAACUUCGAGAGGCUUGCACCAGUCCAUAAAUGGAUCGCUGGAGCUUGCACACUUUGUUAGCACCUUUAGGAUUGACAAAACCUUUUGGUUGCAUCAUAUACAACUCUUCUUUAAUAAAUUCAUUAAGGAAUGCAAUUUUGACAUCCUUUUGCCAGAUUUCAUAAAAUGUGGCAAUUGCUAACAUGAUUCGGACAGACUUAAGCAUCGAUAUGAGUGAGAAAAUCUCAUUGUAUUCAACACCCUGAACUUGUCGAAAAACCUUUUAUGCGACAAGUCGAGCUUUGUAGAUAGUAACACUAUUAUCAGCGUCUGUCUUCCUCUUGAAGAUCCAUUUAUUUACUAUGGCUUGCCGAUCAUCGGGCAAGACAACCAAAGUCCACACUUUGUUCUCAUACAUGGAUCCCAUCUCAGAUUUCAUGGCCUCAAGCCAUUUCAUGGAAUCUGGGCUCAUCGUUGCUUCCUCAUAGUUCGUAGGUUCAUCAUGGUCUAGUUACAUGACUUCCAGAACAGGAUUACCGUACUACUCUGGUGCGGAUCUUAUUCUAGAAGACCUACGAGGUUCUGUAGUAACUUGAUCUGAAGCUUCAUAAUCAUCAUCAUUAGCUUCCUCACUAAUUGGUGUAGGAAUGACUGAAACUGAUUUCUGUGAUGAACUACUUUCCAAUAAGGGAGAAGGUACAAUUACCUCAUCAAGUUCUACUUUCCUCCCACUCACUUCUUUCGAGAGAAACUCCAUCUCUAGAAAGGAUCCAUCUUAGCAACGAAUAUCUUGCUUUCGGAUCUGUGAUAGAAGGUGUACCCAACAGUUUCCUUUGGGUAUUCUAUGAAGACGCACUUCUCCAAUUUGGGUCGAGCUUAUCAGGUUGAAACUUUUUCACAUAAGCAUCGCAGACCCAAACUUUAAGAAACGACAACUUUCGUUUCUUGCCAAACCAUAGUUCAGAAGCCGUCGUCUCAACUGAUUUUGAUGGUGCCCUAUUUAAAGUGAACGCAACUAUCUCUAAUGCAUAACCUCAAAACGAUAGUGGUAAAUCGGUAAGAUACAUCAUAGAUCGCACCAUAUCCAAUAAAGUGCGGUUAUGACGUUCGGACACACCAUUACGCUGUGGUGUUCCAUGUGGCGUGAGCUGUGAAACUAUUCCACAUUGUUUAAAAUGAAGGCCAAACUCAUAGCUCAAAUAUUCAUCUCUACGAUCAAAUCAUAGAAACUUUAUUUUCUUGUUACGAUGAUUUUUCCACUUCACUCUGAAAUUCUUUGAAGUUUUCAACUAUUUCAGACUUAUGUUUCAUCAAGUAGAUAUACGCAUAUCUGCUCAAAUCAUCUGUGAAGGUCAGAAAAUAAUGAUACUUUCCACAAGCAUCAACACUCAUUGGAUCGCAUACAUCGGUAUGUACUAUUUCCAACAAGUCAGUAGCUCGUUCCAUUGUUCCGGAGAAUGGAGUUUUAGUCAUCUUGCCCAAAAGGCACGGUUCACAAGCAUCAAAUGAUUACUAACCAAGUGAUUCCAAAAGUUCAUCUUUAUGGAGUUUCUUCAUGCGCUUUCCACUGAUAUGACCCAAACGGCAGUGCCACAAAUAAGUUACACUAUCAUUGUCAACUUUGCAUCUUUUGGCAUCAAUAUUAUGAAUAUGUGUAUUACUAUGAUCAAGAUCUAACAAACAAUUUUCAUUGGGUGUAUGACCAUCGAAGGUUUUAUUUAUGUAAACAGAACAACAAUUAUUCCUUGACUUUAAAUGAAUAACCGUAUCGCAAUAAACAUGAUCAAAUCAUAUUCAUGCUCAACGCAAAUGCCAAAUAACAUUUAUUUAGGUUUUACACUAAUCCCUAAAGUAUAGGGAGUGUGCGAUGAUGAUCAUAUCAAUCUUGGAACCAUUUCCAAUACACAUCAUCACUUCACCCUCAACUAGUCUCUGUUUAUUCUGUAACUCCUGUUUCGAGUCACUAAUUUUUAGCAACCGAACAAGUAUCGAAUACUCAGGGUCUACUAUAAACACUAGUAAGGUACACAUCAAUAACCUGUAUAUCAAAUAUACCCUUGUUCACUAUGCCAUCCUUCUUAUCCACCAAAUAUUCAGGGUAUUUCUGUUUCAAGUGACCAUUUCCUUUGUAGUGUAAGCACACAGUUUCAGGCUUUAGUUCAGCUUUGGGCUUCUUCAUGGGAGUGAAAACUUGCUUGUCAUUCUACUUGAAGUUCCCUUUCUUUUCCUUUGCCCUUUUCUUGAAACUAGUGAUCUUGUCAACCAUCAACACUUGAUGCUCUUUCUUGAUUUCUACCUUCGUUGAUUUCAACAUCACGAAGAGCUCGGGAAUCAUUUUCGUCAUCCCUUGCAUACUAUAGUUCAUCACAAAGUUCUACUAACUUGGUGAUGGUGACUAGAGAACUCUGUCAAUCACUAUCUUAUAUGGAAGAUCAACUCCCACUUGAUUCAAGCGAUUGUAGUACCCAGACAAUCUGAGCACAUGCUCACUAGUUGAGCGAUUCUCCUCCAUCUUUUAGCCAUAGAACUUGUUGGAGACUUCAUAUCUCUCAACUCGGGUAUUUGCUUGAAAUAUUAACUUCAACUCCUGGAACAUCUCAUAUGGUCCAUGACGUUCAAAACGUCUUUGAAGUCCCAAUUCUGAGCCGUUAAGCAUGGUUCACUAAACUAUCAAGUAGUCAUCAUAUUGAGCUAGCCAAACGUUCAUAACAUCUGCAUCUGCUCCUCAAUAGGUCUGUCACCUAGUGGUGCAUUACGGACAUAAUUCGUCUGUGUAGCAAUGAGGAUAAACCUCAGAUCAUGGAUCCAAUACGCAUCAUUGCUACUAACAUCUUUCAACACAAUUUUCUCUAGGAACAUAUCAAAAUAAACAUAUGAAAGCAACAACGCAAGCUAUUGAUCUACAACAUAAUUUGCAAAAUACUACCAGGACUAAGUUCAUGAUAAAUUUAAGUUCAAUUAAUCAUAUUACUUAAGAACUCCCACUUAGAUAGACAUCCCUAUAAUCCUCUAAGUGAUCAAGUGAUCCAAAUCAACUAAACCAUGUCCGAUCAUCACGUGAGAUGGAGUAGUUUCAAUGAUGAACAUCACUAUGUUGAUCAUAUCUACUAUAUGAUUCACGCUCGACCUUUCGGUCUCCGUGUUCCGAGGCCAUAUAUGUAUAUGCUAGGCUCGUCAAGUUUAACCAGAGUAUUCCGCGUGUGCAACUGUUUUGCACCCGUUGUAUUUGAACGUAGAGCCUAUCACACCCGAUCAUCACGUGGUGUCUCAGCACGAAGAACUUUCGCAACGGUGCAUACUCAGGGAGAACACUUCUUGAUAAUUAGUGAGAGAUCAUCUUAAAAUGCUAACGUCAAUCAAAGCAAGAUAAGAUGCAUAAAGGAUAAACAUCACAUGCAAUCAAUAUAAGUGAUAUGAUAUGGCCAUCAUCAUCUUGUGUUUGUGAUCUCCAUCUCCGAAGCACCGUCGUGAUCACCAUCGUCACCGGCGCGACACCUUGAUCUCCAUCGUAGCAUCGUUGUCGUUUAUGCCAUCUAUUGCUUCUACGACUACCGCUACCGCUUAGUGAUAAAGUAAAGCAAUUACAGGGCGCUUGCAUUUCAUACAAUAAAGCAACAACCACAUGGCUCCUGCCAGUUGCCGAUAACUCGGUUACAAAACAUGAUCAUCUCAUACAAUAAAAUAUAACAUCAUGUCUUGACCAUAUCACAUCACAACAUGCCCUGCAAAAACAAGUUAGACGUCCUCUACUUUGUUGUUGCAAGUUUUACGUGGCUGCUACGGGCUUAGAAAGAACCGUUCUUACCUACGCAUCAAAACCACAACGAUAGUUUGUCAAGUUGGUGCUGUUUUAACCUACGCAACCCGCCAGCCACCUGUGUGCAAAGCACGUCAGUAGAAACAGUCUCGCGUAAGCGUACGCAUAAUCUCAGUCCGGGCCUCUUCAUCCAACAGUACCGCCGAACCAAGGUAUGACAUGCUGGUAAGAAGUAUGACUUGUAUCGCCCACAACUCAUUUGUGUUCUACUCGUGCAUAUAACAUCUACGCAUAAAACCUGGCUCGGAUGCCUCUGUUGGGGAACGUAGUAAUUUAAAAAAAUAUCCUACGUACACGCAAGAUCAUGGUGAUGCAUAGCAACGAGAGGGGGAGUGUAUCUUCAUACCCUUGAAGAUCGCUAUGCGGAAGCGUUUAUCAACGCGGUUGAUGUAGUCGUACGUCUUCACGAUUCGACCGAUCCAUGUACCGAACGCAUGGCACCUCCGAGUUUUGUACAUGUUCAACUCGAUGACGUCCUCGCCUUCUUGAUCCAGAGAGACGGGCGAAGUAGUAGAUGAGUUCCGACAGCACGACGGCGUGGUGACGGUGUUGGUGAAGAAGAAUCUCCGCAGGGCUUCGCCUAAGCACUACAGAAACUAUGACGGGGGAUAAACUAGAGGGGACGGGGUUGCCGGCACACGGCUUGGUGUUUCUUGAUGUGUCUUGGGUGCUAGCCCUACCCCUCUAUUUAUAUGUUGAGCCUUGGGGUCGAAACUUGGAGUAAAAGCCUCCUGAAAGUCGGUUUUGCCCGAAAGGCAAGAGUCUGGACUCCGCAAAACUUCCUUUUGCGCUUUCCAAAAACCUUGUGGGCUUUCCCCUUUGGCCCAAAUAACGUGUUCUUGUACCCAAACAUUUCGGGAAACAUCCGGAACCCCUUCAGGUGGAUUCCGGAACCUUUCCGGAGAUCAAACACUACUAUCCACAUAUCAAUCUUUACUUCCGGACCAUUCCGGAGUUCCUCGUCAUAUCCGUGAUCUCAUCCAAAAACUCCGAACAACAUUCGAUCACCAACAUACAUAACUCAUAGUACUAUAUCGUCAACGAACGUUAAGUGUGCGGACCCUACGGGUUCGAGAACUAUGUAGACAUGACCGAGACACAUCUCUGGUCAAUAACCUAUAGCGGGACCUGGAUGCCCAUAUUGGCUCCCACAUAUUCUACGAAGAUCUUUAUCGAUCACACCGCAUAACAACAUACGUUGUUCCCUUUGUCAUCGGUAUGUUACUUGCCCGAGAUUCGACCGUCGGUAUCUCAAUACCUAGUUCAAUCUCAUUACCGGCAAGUCUCUUUACUCGUUCUGUAAUACAUCAUCUCGCAACUAACUCAUUAGUUGCAAUGCUUGCAAGGCUUAAGUAACGUGCAUUACCGAGAGGGCCCAGAGAUACCUCUCCGAUAAUCGGAGUGACAAAUCCUAAUCUCUAAAUACGCCAACCCAACAAGUACCUUCGGAGACACCUGUAGAGCACAUUUAUAAUCACCCAGUUACGUUGUGAUGUUUGGUAGCACACAAAGUGUUCAUCCGGUAAACGGGAGUUGCAUAAUCUCAUAGUCAUAGGAACAUGUAUAAGUCAUGAAGAAAGCAAUAGCAACAUACUAAACGAUCGAUUGCUAAGCUAACGGAAUGGGUCAAGUCAAUCACAUCAUUCUCCUAAUGAUGUGAUCCCGUUAAUCAAAUGACAACUCAUGUCUAUGGCUAGGAAACUUAACCAUCUUUGAUCAACGAGCUAGUCAAGUAGAGGAAUACUAGUGACACUCUGUUUGUCUAAAUAUUCACACAUGUACUAAGUUUACGAUUAGUACAAUUCUAGCAUGAAUAAUAAACAUUUAUCAUGAUAUAAGGAAAUAAAUAGUAACUUUAUUAUUGCCUCUAGGGCAUAUUUCUGAUGGUUGAUGAUGACGAUGGUGACAGAUUCCCCCUCCGGAGCCCCGAACGGACUCCAGAUCAGCCCUCACGAGAAAGAUUAGGGCUUGGCGGUGGCUCCUUAUCGUAAAACAUGAUGAAUCCUUCUCUUUGAUUUUUUUUCUCUUCGAACGUGAUUAUAUAGAGUUGGAGUUGAGGUUGGUGGAGGUCCAGGGGACCCACGAGGCUGGGGGCGCGCCCUAGGGGGGUGGACGCGCCCUGCACCCUCGUGGAUAGGGUGUGGGCCCCCUUACGCUUAUUCUUUCGCCAAUGUUGUUUAUUAAUUCCAAAACGUGUCUCCGUCGAUUUUCAGGUCAUUCCGAGAACUUUUAUUUCUGCACAAAAAUAACACCAUGGGAAUUCUGCUGAAAACAGCGUUAGUCCGGGUUAGUUCCAUUCAAAUCAUGCAAGUUAGAAUCCAAAACAAGAGCAAAAGUGUUUGGAAAAGUAGAGACGUUGGAGAAGUAUCAGUCGCUUCCCGCUGCUUGGCCUGGCCAAAUUUGACCUUUAGUACCGGUUAGUGGCUCCAAUCGGUACUAAAGGUCCAUCCUAUAUAAGCAACGCUGACGAAAAUUUCAGUUUCUUCUCCUCUUCCUCUGCUUCUUCAACCUUGUCACGCCGUCACCCGUCCCCGGCGCCUCCCCGGCCUAUCGCCGCUCCCGUCACGCGCGGCUACUGUCGCCGUCCCCAUCGCCGCGCCCGUCCCCGUCAUUACACGCCGCCCCCGGCCCGUCCCCGUCGCGCGCGUCCCGCCCCAGCCCGUCCCCGUUGCUGCCACCCGUCGUCGACCCCGUCGCCUCACAUCGCCGGUUGUCACCCAGCUGUAAGACCGUCCCUGCCGCGCCAUGGCCGCCCUCACACACACACUCAGUACACACGACACACACACAGAGAAAAUGUUAGAUGAUUAGAUGAAUUAGCUAGAUAUUAAUGUCAAAUGUUAGAUGAAUUUUAUGAAUUAGCUAGAUAUUAAUGUUAGAUGAGUAAGUUUUUUAAUUCUUUUAGUUAUAAACGAAUUAGAUAUAUUAAUGUUAGAUAUUAGCAUGAAUAUAUAUAAACUUCAGGUUGUUAUCAAUUUGAUGAUAUUGUUCAAAAUGAAUGCCCACGAUAAACUCUAUUGACAAAUCUAACAACUCGCGAUGAACACAAAGGCCAAGAUAGCAAAAAUAUUGACUCCAUUACAAUAUUUUCUAAGGCAUCAAAUGUUAAUAAUAGAUCAUAACUCAUAGGAAUAACCAACCUGGUAAAGUUUAUUCUAGCCGGUCUUCUAAAUUUUCCUAUCAGCAGUUUUCUACAAAUUAAUAGAACUAGUUGAAUUCUAUAUGAGAUUUGAAUUAGUAAGUUCUUAGUUGAAUUAGUAAGAAAAUUAGUAAGUGCUUAUUUGAAUUAGUAAGAAAAUAAAUUAUUUUUAUUUAUAGUAAGUGCUUAGUUGAAUUACUACAAAGUUGAGUCAUCUAUUUUGGAAUGGAGGGAAUAGUUGUGUAGAGGAAUAUAAUGGAAAAGGUCAUACUGUUUCAAUGGAUAGGUAAACAUUAAAAAAUGUCAUCCAUUUAAUACUCGAACAAAGGACAGUUCCUUACUAUGUUUAGAAGAAUAGCUUUAUACUCCCUCCGUUUCUUUUUGGUCUUCAUAUAAGAUUUGGUCAAAGUCAAACUUUGUAAAAUUUAACCAGCUUUAUAUGAAAAGAUAUCAACACUCACACUAUGAAAUCAAUGUUAUUAGAUGCAUUAUGGAAUUAAUUUUCAUAACAUAUAAAUUUUGUAUGGUAGAUGUUGAUUUUUUUCUAUGAAGUUAGUCAAACUUUAUAAAGUUUGACUUUGACCAAAUCUUAUAUGCAGACUAGAAAGAAACGGAGGUAGUAAUAAAGAAACGUCAGGCAACUGGCAGCCACCCUUGUGCGCUAAAAAUUGCAAUGGUGCAAAAACAAUUAAGUGGUAUACAUACUGUCAUGUUUGGUUUGCAUGAGUGUUUUAUCAAUUUAACGGAUUUAUAUGGUACGAUCUUAUAUAUAAUCUUAUUUAUUAGGUUCGUUAAUUGGCUCAGUGAUGUACACUUGAUAACCGCAGAUAAGUACGUACUCGUAGUAGCUAGCUAGCAAUGAUUCAGUCGUGCCACAUGCUCGCUUACAGGCCGCCAUGCAUGUAUCUUCUCCGAUGGACAGAAGUUCAAAUAUGACUUGGUGUCUCACACUCAAAUUAAUUUCUGAAACGGCUUAUCCAUGGAAAGAAUCUCUCGCACAAAUGACUAGAACAGCAGCUGAUCGAUGUUAGGUACGAGCAAACAAGUAUAUUGUAGUAAGAUAAACUCACAUUUAGUGCAAGUUGUGCAAUGCGAAAAGGUCACAACACUAUUUAAAAAAUAAUAAUAGACCACUAGCAGAACAGUUGGUCUAUACUUUGUUCUAAUGUGCCAUGUUGCGAGAAAAAUAAAACCAGCCACCUACGAUUAGAAAUAUUGUAAUUCUCGUGAAACAACGAUUAUCCUGCGAUUCCCUGCUUCUAGCAUGCGCUUCCUAUCACCAGGCCACUAAGUCGGAAUUUCCAAGCGUAGCUUUUUCUUUCCCCUCUCGCAAGGCGACUAGGGAAAGCAUUUCUCCCUUCGAUCUUCCUCGGGUGAGCCCGUGGAUUCGCCUCCACUCCACCUGCCGUUUUAGCGGCCGAUAGCGGUCGGGAGGGUAUUUCUGGUGCCUCGGCUUAUAUAGGUAGGGUUUUGGUUCUUGCAAGGGCGGCGCUCGAACGGAUGGCGGAGCUUCUUCUUCGAGUCAGUCUUCCGGGCUCCCAUUCUCCUCAAGUUCGUUCCUGGGGAUCGAUUAGACAAAGCUCCAGCAUGGAUUCCUGCCAGCUCCUUGAACGACGAGGUUUGGCUUUCUUGUCGUGCAUACGCAAUAGCAAGAUUUUCUGUUAGAUUCUUCAGACCAAUUCAAGGAUUCGAUGGCGACUACUGGGACUCCCGAACUCUGGUCCUUAAGGGCACGUGCAAAAAGACAUCCCGGUUGUCAUCGACAAGGUAAGGCCGAAUCCGGUAUAUGAGCGACAAUAGCGACGCGUCGGCAGCUCAUUCUGGCGGCGGCAAUGGUCGUUCGGUUGUCCAUGAACCUCGAUGUAAUUUUUAUGAUGUUUGGGGUGCUCUGUACUUCCAGUGAAUCUUUAUAAUAGAUAUGAUAUUUUCGUAAAAAAAAGUCAGAAUUUCAGAAAACCGGCCGGUUUCCAAAAAUUUUGUUUGAAAGAAACCUUGCGAUAGUACAACAGCCACCCAUGACGGGACGCUGCGAUCAACCUAAGCGCCCGCCUAUAUAAGCAUCAGGUCCGUGAUUGCCUCCCACACUUGAAGGGUCUGAAGAUAAUCUUCAUCUUCACCGCCCACACGCCGUAGUUGGCGUCGGUGAGCAUCGGGUACUGUAUGGGGAUGUUGCCGUGCGACAAUACGUUGGCACCGCCCCUUCCUCCACCACUGGUCGCUGAAUUUCCGCCCUAGUUCACCUCAUCGACGUUCUUGUUCACGUUGGAACCGCCGUUGCCGGACUUGUUCGGCUUGGAACCGCCGUUGCCGGACUUGGAGUUGACCCACUCCUGAUCGUUGUCCCCCAUCAUAGAUCAUAGAUCGUUGAGGCUUGAGAUACCAAUUAUUGGCUUUAUAACACUAGAUCAAUUCACCAGGGAGCUACAAUGUGUAUCUGCAGCAAACCUAUCAAGCAAGCAAGCCACCAUUAGUAUUUUAUCAAUUUAACGGAUUGACAUGGUAUGUUGUGUAUAUAAUUUGAUUUAUUAGGCUCGUUAAUUUGUUCAAUGAUGUAUAGUUCAUAAUCGAGGAUAAGAACUAGCAAGCUAGCAAUAAUACUGCUCGCGUACCACAAUUAUGUUUCUUCAAUGAUCAUGAUUGAGAUGGAGAUUAUUUAGAGCUACUUUAUAUUCAGUUUGUUCAUAAGAGUGAACAAUUACAUUAUUCCAGGUUUGUUGCCAGCAUAGUUGCAAUUUUAACAAUGGUUGCUGCCAGCUGCCUGCCGUUCAAGUACUAUAAAGGAUUGCCUCUCAGUGCAGCAGCGCACACCGCCCAUGAGAGCGAUGCGACAGCUAUGGCGAGGUUCACCGCGGCACAUCCAGUGCUCGUGCAGGCGAAGUACGGAGUUUUUGCCAGGACACGCAGAGCACGAAGAAAGAAGAUGCAACGGCCAGCAGCCGUUGCCCAAAAUGGCAAUGGUGCAAAAAAGAUUAGGUGGUAUAUACGCCGGCAUGUUCGAUAGACACGACUUCAUCAUUUUAACAGAUUGAUACGGUUGUAUAUGUAAUUUAUUAGAUUCCUUAAUGAUUUAACCCCUAUGUGCUUUCCCUAAAGUUGCAAAACACGCUGUCAAAACUGCGUUAGGAAGGAUUUUCUUGACGUGCCAAGGCUAGUUCUGUAUUUUUUUUGAACACAGUACAAAAGCAAGCGGUAUGACGUGCCAAGGAUUCUCUAGCACAAAUGACUAGCACAACAGCUGAUCGAUGUUAGGUAUGAGCAAACAAGUACUCUCUCCGUUCCAAAAUAGAUGACCCAACUUUGCACUAACUGGUCAUCUAUUUUGGAACGGAGGGAGUACAUUAUAGUAACAUAAACUCACAUUUAGUUCAAGUUGUGCAAUGCGAAAAGGACACAACACUAUUUAGCAGAAUAGUUGGUGUAUACUUUGUUCUAAUGUGCCAUGUUGCGAGAAAAAAAAAACACCACAUAGAAAUAAAAAAAUGUAAAUCUCGUGAAACAGGGAUGGAACCCGCGACUCCGUGUCAUUAGCAUGCGCUUCCUUUGAACCAGGCCACUAAGCAAGUUCUACACACGUGUGCAUACAUUUUCUCUUUGACCUUGUUCACUUAUUUAAAUUCAAAACAAUUUGAUUUUUUCAGACGGUAUUUCAUUGUUUCGCGAAUUUCCAAAAAUCUCGUUUGAAAAAAAAAACCUGCGACAGUACAUCAGCCACCCACGACGUGCUGCUGCGAUGGAACUAGCUAGGCGCCUGCCUAUAUAAGCAUGAGGUCCGGUGCAUGUAUUCCAGAUAAGGAUACAACCUGAGCUAAUCAAGAUGGCUUCCUCCACGCCUUACCUUGUCCUACUCUUGUGCCUCACCACUUUCCUGCAGGCAUUGCUUGCUGCGGCAAAAUACCCACCGCCGCCGCCCCCGCCGUUUGAGCUGCCGGAGUCCGAGGUGAGGGAGAGGUUCUCCAAGUGGGUGAUCAAGUACUCAAAGCACUACUCGUGCCAUGAGGAGGAGGAGAUGCGGUUCCAAGUCUUCAAGAACAACACCAACGCCAUCGGCCAAUUCGACCAACAGAAUCCUGGCACCGUCGUCGGUCGCGGGUUCCGACCAACUGGGUUUCAGGUCCGUGGCUCGGGCGGGGUCCGUAUGAACAGGUUCGGCGACCUCAGCCCCAGGGAGGUCAUCCAGCAGUUCACCGGGCUCAACACCACCAGCUUCAAUGCCACGUCACCCACCUACCUCCCCUACCACUCCUUCAAGCCCUGCUGCGUUGACUGGCGCUCCAGCGGCGCUGUCACCGGCGUCAAGAAUCAAGGCACUUGUGGUAAGUGGUCAAGCUAUACUUUCUACUAGCAGAUUUAGUUAUAUACUCAUGCAUGCUCAUGGUUGCUCAAUGAAUUACUCGUGUCGUCGUGCGGAUGGAUAAAAUUGUAAUAUGGCAGGAUCAUGCUGGGCAUUCGCGGCGGUGGCGGCGAUCGAAGGCAUGAACAAGAUUAGGACAGGGGAGCUGGUGUCGCUGUCCGAGCAGGUACUCGUGGAUUGCGACACACGGAGCGGCGGCUGCGGCGGCGGCCACUCAGACUCGGCUAUGGCCCUCGUGGCCGCCCGUGGUGGCAUCACGUCGGAGGAGAGGUACCCAUACGCCGGAUUCCAGGGAAAGUGCGACAUGGACAAGCUCCUCUUCGACCACCAGGCGUCCCUCAAGGGCUUCAAGGCCGUGCCACCCAACAACGAAGGUCAGCUGGCGAUUGCCGUGGCCAUGCAGCCCGUGACGGUCUACAUUGACGCCAGCGGUUUUGAGUUCCAGUUCUACUCCGGCGGCAUCUACCGUGGCCCCUGCUCCGCCAAUGUGAACCAUGCCGUCACCAUCGUCGGCUACUGCGAGGGUCCUGGCGAGGGAAACAAGUACUGGAUUGCCAAGAACUCAUGGAGCAACGACUGGGGUGAACAAGGAUAUGUCUACCUCGCAAAGGACGUGCCUUUGUCCACGGGCACAUGUGGCCUCGCCACCUCGCCCAUCUACCCCACGGCUUGACCACAGGCAGCACUAUGUGUGAUAUCUAAGGAAUUGCUUCCGUUUCGUUGUGAUAAUGCUAAAUUACUAUUUUUGUUAUACUUCCC